AGACCUGAAGAGGCAACAUCCGCUAAGAAGGAUGCCGCGAAAUCCGAGGCUGAUGCAAUGAAGUACGGGGCCAUCUCUCAGCAGGCCGCCGGCAAAAAUGGUGCCUAAGUGGUGCCUUAAACACCUAUUCACACGCAACAUCAUCUACAUACUACCAUGCAUGCAAAAUAGCAGCAUUCAGAUACCACAUUAUGCUAAUUCUCAUGCAUGCACGCUUUGUUUAAACGUUCCCAUUACGAAUCAUGUAUUAAUGUCUUGCUUGUUUUAUUUUUAGUAGUAAGACACGCUUGACUUGCUUUAAAAAAAAUACAACAAUCGACGUAUACAUGUAUUAUCUGAAAAUUAAUAAUAUGAGUUCCACCGCAAUUUGUUUCUUUUUGUCAUAAUUUGGGUGCAAUCAAUGCACACAUCCAAUACACAAAAUUGGACGACUCAAUGUGUUAUGGCUCCAUGGAGCGGCGAAUCAUGUUUUAUUGUCUUGCUUGUUUUACUUUUAGUAGUAAUGUCUUGCUGGUCAAUGUAUUAUGGCUCCAUGGAGCGGCAUAAUGAUAUAUGAUAUAUCUUCACUACUUCAAAAAGAACUUAAGGUUUUGUCAUACAUCUUUCCUUCAUCCAUCCUCCCUACGAAUCCUUCCUGUUUUGAUUUUUUCUCCCAUCUUUGAUUUUUCUCCCCAUUGAUUCUACCUAAAAACCACCUCAAUGUCACAUGUUUACUGUAUAUGUCAAGGCCUCCUUUGGUUCAUAGGGUAGAAAAAACAUAGGAAUAGGAAAGUCAUAGGAAAUGAGAUGACAUGUAUCUCAAAUCCUAUGAUUGGGAAUAGGAAAGGAGAUGCCCUUUGAUUCACAUCAUAGGAUUUUUUCAUUGAAUCUAGGCUAAUGUUUAUUUUCCUAUGAAAUGUGAAGGAGAGGAAGAAUUCCUCCAUAGGAUUAGGAUUCCAUUCCUACAAACCAAAGGACUCUAAAGGAAUUUUUCCUAUAGAAAUCCUAUCCUAUGAAAUUCUUACAAGAUUCCUCCAAAUCAAAGGAGGCCCAAGUGGUUGUGAUGAGACAGUGGCUGGGCACUUCAGAUUUAUUCCCGUAACUGACUGUCAAAUUGAGUCAUCUGUCAUCCUUUCGAUGAUUGUAAGAAAGUUAUAUGUUUAUUGUAUGUGCCAAGUGGUUGUGAUUAUCGUUACCGGCCACAAAGUUAUAUUUUCUUGUCUUAACGAAGGGUUGCAUACAAUGCGUGUAGCUCUUGACGCCUGAUAACCCACAAGUAUAGGGGAUCGCAACAGUUUUUGAGGGUAGAGUAUUCAACACAAAUUUAUAGAUUCGACACAAGGGAGCCAAAGAAUAUUUGUAAGUAUUAACAACUGAGUUGUCAAUUCAACCACACCUGAAGAUUAAUUAUCUGCAGCAAAGUGAUCAGUAGCAUAGUAGUAUGAUAGUUUUGAUAGUAGUAGCAACAUCAACAGUAACGGUAACAGUGGUAGCAAUGGUUUUGUAGCAGUGACAAUAGUAACAGCAGCAGCAGUAACUUAGCAAGAACAAUAUGUACGAAAAUCGUACGCAUUGGAUCGGUGAUUUGUUGGAUGAUAUUCAUCAUGUGACAGUUACAACCUAGGACGAUACGGCACUAGCUCCAGUUCAUAAAUAUAAUGUAGGCAUGUAUUCUAUAAAUAAUCAUACGUGCUUAUGAAAAGAACUUGUAUGACAUCUUUUGUCCUACCCUCCUGUGGCAGCGGGGUCCUAUUGGAAACUAAGGGAUAUUAAGGCCUCCUUUUAAUAGAGAACCAGAAUAAAGCAUUAACACACGUGAAUACAUGAACUCCUCAAACUACGGUCAUCACAGGGAAGUGUCCCGACUAUUGUCACUCCGGGGUUGCCGGAUCAUAACACGUAGUAGGUAACUAUAACUUGCAAGGUUGGAUCUAGAACAUAGAUAUAAUGGUGAUAACAUAAGUCAUAGCAACAUCAAUCAAGAACAUAAUGGAUACUAGGGAUGAAGCCCUAACAAAACUAACUCAAUUACAUGAUGAAUCUCAUCCAACUCCUCACUGACCAGCGAGCCUACGAAGGAAUUACUCACUCCUGGUGGGGAGCAUCAUGGAAUUGGCGAUGGAGAAGGGUUGGUGAUGACGAAGAUCGAAGAUCCCACUCUCUGGAGCCCCAAACGGACUCCAAAUCUAGCCUCCCGAUGAAGAACAGGAGAUGACGGCGGCUCCGUCUUGUGGAUCGUGAUAAUUCUUUCUCCCUGAUUUUUUUCUGGAAAAAUAGGAUUUUAUAGCGUCGGAUUCAGGGCCUGCGGGGCCACCAGGUGGGGACAACCCACCUGGGUGUGCUUGGAGGGGGGGGGGGGCUGGUGGGUUGUGCCCAUCCAGGUGCCCCCCUCCGAUUGUUCUUGGCUCCAGAAAUUCUCUGUAUUUGUAUAAAAAUUCCUCGCAAAGUUUUGUUCCAAUCCGAAAACUUUUAUUUCUGCACAAAAAAAACACCAUGGUAGUUUUGUUGGAAACAACGUCAGUCCGGGUUAGUUUCAUUCAAAUCAUGCAAAUUAGAGUCCAAAACAAGAGGAAAGUGUUAGGAAAAGUAGAUACGACGGAGACGUAUCAACUCCUCCAAGCUUAAACCUUUGCUUGUCCUUAAGCAAUUCAGUUGAUAAACUGAAAGUGAAAAAAAAUUAUGAACUCUUUUGCUCUUGUUUUCAUAAAUAAGCUUAAACAUCACCCAGUGUCGGUGUCGAAACCGGCGGAUCUCGGAUAGGGGGUUCCGAACUAUGCGUCUAGGCGGAUGGUAACAGGAGACAAGGGACACGAUGUUUACCCAGGUUCGGGCCCUCUCGAUGGAGGUAAAACCCUACUCCUGCUUGAUUAAUAUUGAUGAUAUGGGUAGUACAAGAGUAAAUCUACCACGAGAUCAAGGAGGCUAAACCCUAGAAGCUAGCCUAUGGUAUGAUUGUUGUUGUCCUACGGACUAAAACCCUCCGGUUUAUAUAGACACCGGAGAGGGUUAGGGUUACACAGAGUCGGUUACAAUGGUAGGAGACCUACAUAUCCGUAUCACCAAGCUUGCCUUCCACGCCAAGGAAAGUCCCUUCCGGACACGGGACGAAGUCUUCAAUCUUGUAUGUUCAUAGUCCGGGAGUCCGGCUGAAGGUAUCGUCCGGCUAUCCGGACACCCCCUAAUUCAGGACUCCCUCAGAGCCCCCGAACGAGGCUUCAAUGACGACGAGUCCGGCGCGCAAAUUGUCUUCGGCAUUGCAAGGCGGGUUCUCCUUCAAUUUCUGUGUACCUGCUGAAUAAUGUCCGGUUUCUUAUAAAUGUAGCGCUCCUCGGCUUCCACGCCCAAUAAUGGCCGUCUUCCACGUGUCAAAUGAAUACGAAAAGUCUGGGUGUUUUUACAUUCACACCCCCAGCCGCGUAAAUGAGCUGCCUAUUUAAAGGGACGGGGAUUUAGAUCCAAACCACACCUUCUCCUCUCCGCGAGUUUCAUCAGAGCGCAUCCGACAAAGGACCGUUCCAUCAUGGCCAGCGGUCGCAGCUCCUCCUCUCGCCCUUCCAGCCCUCAUCCUGGAGAUUGGGAGAGAUGCUCCGUCCCGCACAUCGAGCUAGUGUCGCUUCGGACCAAAGGGAUUUCUUCCUCCUGCCUAUAUGGUCCCGGUUCGAGCCGGACUUGCCACCUAUAAUGGCGGAGAGCAAGCGGAGAACGCCCCCAAUCCCUCCAAAGGAGAGCGGGUAUGCCUUGUCCCUUAUUUAAUAAGAGGGCUCGGAUUUCCAAUUCAUCCAUUUCUCCGGGGGCUCCUGGAGUUCUACGGCCUCCAGCUGCACAACCUCAUGCCUGUCUCCGUAUUGCAUAUUGCGGGCUUCGUAGCCCUUUGCGAGUUGUUUUUGGGUGUUGAGGCUCAUUUCGCGCUGUGGAAGAGGCUAUUUUGCCUUGUGCCCUGUUCUUAGGAGGGGUCAAUAUAUCAAGUGGGCGGAGCCAAAGUGUGGUGUAUCGCCAGGACCGGAUAUCUAUCCGGAACCCCAAAGAAGGCGUCCGAGGACUGGCCUUCAGAAUGGUUUUAUAUAGAGGACGUCCCGUUGCCGGAUCCUGUUCGGAUCGGCCUCCCUGAGUUCAACAGCGCUCCCCUGAAGAAACGUCUAAGCUGGCACCCACGGAGCCCUCAGAGAGAAAGUGACAAGGACGUUCUUUACCUGAUGGGCCGGAUAAGAUUAUUAGCUCAUUCCGGACUAACCAUGAUCGGAGUCAUGGCCGCAUGCAUCAUGCGAGGGGUGCAACCGCUUCAGUACAGAGGCCACCCCAUGUGGGACUUCAACGGGGAGGAUGAUGCCACCCGUCACGGCCGUAAGGGGCCGGACUCGGCUACCGCUCUAGUAAAGAUCUUGUCCGCUUUGUACAAGGGAGAAGAGGAGGAAUUUCUCCGCGUCAACCCACAGGGUGGAUUUACCAUGUACAAUCCCCCAAGUUGGGUAAGUGGGCAAUUUUACUUGCCCGUCUGUUUUGUAUUCCCAUCAUUAAAUAUAUAGUCUAACGACUUCAACGCAGGAACUGCGCCAGGAAGUAAAGGACAUAAACAGCCCGCCUCCACAGCCUGAGGACCCAGAGUUGUCCCUCGAUCCGGCCUCCGAAGAGGAUCCGGACUUAUCCAUGGAGUUAAUUGAUGGGGUGUUUUAUCAAUUGAGCAAGGACAAUGCCUUGGUGGCCAUUAAGGCCGAUUACCCGGGGCUGCUCCCGGCCUCCCAGGUAACUGAGACCGAAGUCCUAGCACCUCAAAAAGGGAUCCGCCCUCGCGUGUUUUUCAGUUUCCUGACAACAACCGUGUUUUGUAGGGGAGGUUCUUGAGACGGGAGGCCGAGCCUGCGGUGACUAGCCAACGAGGGGCCACAGGGCCCCGUGGGAUGAAAAGAAGUGCAGUCCGGACUGAGGCACCGGCGCAGAGGUAUAGCGCGCCUUCUUAUUCCCAGGUGUUAUUCCUUCAAGGCAUAUUAACACUCGUGCUCUUUUCAGGACAAAAAGACCCCGCCGGACUAUAUCCAGAGAGGCUGCCAAUCGCGCCUCCACCAGCCAGGAUCCAAAGCCUGGUCCGGAGACGGAGGCGAACACGAGGCGCGCACCGGACGCUCCUCCAACAGAUGAUGCGGACAGGCUGUCCGCCACUAAUUCCGAGGUGGAGAGUGCCAUGAACCACAGGCGUCGCCGGACAGUUCUUCGCGACGCUUGUUUCUCCCAAGAGGCAUUGGACGCCUUCAAUUCGGGAGAUGCGUACCUUCGUGCCGCUCAAAAUGGUCUAGCCAGAGCCACGGAGCAAUAUGUAAAAGACAUACGGGUGAGAAAAUUUAAUGGUUAUAUAUAUCAGUAGCCCCCGAGACUUGAAACAGUUAGAAGAACUGAUUUAAGGAUCAUUCAUAAUGCAGGUUCUUGCGGAAAAGAAUACCCAACUGUCCCAGGAGCUAGAAGAGUGCAAAGCCCAACUUGAGGCCGCACUAGCCGCGACAGGGGAGCCCAAGGAGACCCCCUCUGGUAAUAUGUGCUUCAAAAAGAGAAGUAUUUUGUGAAGUGCGGCGUAUGUGCAAAUCUGACGAAUGAAAUUGCAGAUGGCGCCGGAUUAGAUCCGGAAAAGCAACAAAUCCUACGCCAGCUAAAGGCUGGUGAGAGCGUGCUGACAAAGGUGAGGCGGGAGAAGAACGAUCUCCAAUAUGCCAACACCAAGCUGGGCGUUGAACUGAAAGAUGUUUGUGCCCAGUUGUCAGACUCCGCUAAGGAGAAUCAGCGGCUUCGACGCGGCAUAUUUAGUAAGUGCUUAAACGAACUUUGAAUAAAGAGUUCGACAAGGAAGUCGACUAACGGAGUAAUGUCUGUAGGUAUGCUAACAGGUCGUCCUGCAGAGGAGAUGCCCGGUUCUAUGGGUGACCUUCUUCUUGAGCUCUUGCAACUGCACGAGCGAGUUCAACAGGUGAUGCAGGGCGUCGCCCAGGCCUUGUGGCCAUCCAUCUCCAUGCCCGAAGGACUUGGAGAGGUUGCAGAGAAGCUGAAGGGAGCGCGGCGGCGCUUCCGAUUGUGGAAGAUAUCGGCCUGCCGUCAAGGCGCUAGGGAGGCCUGGGCCAUGGUGAAGACGCGGUACACGAAGGCUGACCCAAACCACAUGGCCGAGGUCGGACCUGUGGGGCCCGAUGGGAAGGAGAUCCCUGUAAGCUUAGUAUACGGCCAAGUAGAAUUGCCCGCAAAGUAUUCCCAGCAGGACUGUAAGCUAGACAGCAUGUUAGAUGGUAUUGAAGAGGAAUACAAUUAGUCAUAAUGACUAUGUAAUUUUAAUUGACAUGUGUAAUGCCUUCUAGCCGGAUUGUAGAUCGUUUUUCAUGGCCGACCUUUUUGCUUCGACCUCGGGACCUGACGGUCCGGAGUGUGUCCGAAUACCCUUGCGGUUAUAUAAGAACCGGGGUAUGCAUGGAGACCAGGCGUAGGGGUCAUUAGUGCUUGAACAGACAAGUGCCCGACUAGUUAUGUUAUAUUACAUGGUUAGUAAGAAACAUCUUCCAGGGAGAAUAGUUCCGUUAGGGGUUCCUUUCCCUGGGAGGCAUGCCCUAAAGUGCAUGUCCAUUCUGCGAAAAGAGACGCAGGAAAAAACAUCUGGGGGCGCAUAGAUAAAUAAGUGAAAAAAAUCAUCUUUAGUUCACCGACCGAAUAUUCCCUUAAGGACGCUAGCUUUCGGCUUCACCCAGUCUGAGGUACACAUCGGGCUGACCCGGCAGUAACAAUCGCAGAGGUGCUCCCUUUACCACCUAGCCGAACAAUCGGAAACAUAGGGCUAAGCACAGGAGCCAGGCAACCCAGCUUGGCUAAAACUUAAGUCAUAUCGAUACAUAUGAUGGUGAAUAAAAGGUACAUGCGGAAGUGUGACACAUGUGUUGGGCAUGAAGCCCGUAUAAGCUUCUGUUCAAAGAAGCCCCCAGGUUUAGUGAGCGCGGAUAGCGCGUCACUUGAUGAGCCUUUAAAGGCUAUAAGAGAAAGGAGGGGGAGAAGGAGAAAAUGGAAGACAGAAAAUAUAAAAAAUGGACAGAGGAAGGAGACGAACAUAGAAUCCGGCGCUAGGCAUAGAAUCUUCGGAGACGGGCUGCGUUCCAUGGGUUCGGCUCGAGUCGGUUAUCCGAUGCAUCUCACAGGCGGUACGUUCCACCAGUCAGGACUUGGUCAAUUAUGAAGGGACCUUCCCACUUGGGCUGGAGUUUGUCCUUUUUCUUGUCCGGCAGGCGUAGAACUAGUUCGCCAACAUUGUAAUUUUUGGCCCGUACUUCUCUGCUUUGAUAUCUUCGAGCCUGCUGUUGAUAGAAUGCGGAACGGGCUUUUGCCACGUCACGCUCCUCCUCCAAGGCGUCCAAACUGUCCUGCCGAUCGAGCUCGGCUUCUCUUUCUUCGUACAUGUGCACUCAAGGUGAGUCAUGAAUUAUAUCGCAGGGCAAAACUGCUUCUGCGCCGUACACCAUGAAGAAUGGUGUGUAUCCGGUGGUGCGAUUCGGCGUGGUCCGCAGCCCCCAGAGUACGGAGUCGAGCUCCUCUACCCAGUGCGUGUUAGAUUCCUUAAGGGACCGCACUAAUCUGGGUUUGAUGCCGCUCAUGAUAACACCAUUUGCGUGUUCGACCUGUCCGUUAGUUUGUGGGUGAUAGACGGAAGCAGAAUCGAGCUUGAUGCCCAUGUUUUUGCACCAGAGUUUUACCUCAUCGACCGUAAAGUUCGUACCGUUAUCAGUGAUGAUGCUGUGGGGGACGCCGUAACGGUGUACGACCCCGGAUAUAAAGUCUAUCACUGGUACAGAUUCGGCCGUCUUAAUAGGCUUGGCCUCUAUCCAUUUGGUGAACUUAUCCACCAUGACCAGUAAGUAUUUUUUCUUGUGGGUUCCGCCUUUAAGGGGUCCAACCAUGUCAAGCCCCCAGACCGCGAAGGGCCAAGUGAUGGGGAUAGUUUGGAGGGCGGUGGGUGGCAUAUGGCUUUGGUUUGGCAAAAGCUGGCAACCGACGCAUCGUUGGACUAAGUCCUGAGCGUCUGCCCGGGCCGUUGGCCAAUAAAAGCCUGUACGGAAAGCCUUGCUUACGAGGGACCAAGCUGCGGUGUGAUGACCACCGAGUCCGGCAUGAAUUUCAGCCAGCAAGUUCCGCCCAUCCUCCUCAGAGAUGCACCUUUGAAGGACUCCGGUAGUGCUUUUCUUAUAAAGCUCUCCCUCAUGGACUUUAUAGGCUUUAGAUCGCCGCACUAUGCAGCGUGCCUCAUUUUGGUCUUCUGGGAGUUCCUGCCUAGUAAGAUAGGCUAGGAAUGGUUCUGUCCACGGGGCGAUGACUGCCAUUAUUACGUGGGCUGAAUAUGUGACUUCAUUGGCAGAGUCUCCAAUUAUGUCAGUGUUGGCUAACGUAGCAGAAAUUCAAAAUUUUCCUACGUGUCACCAAGAUCUAUCUAUGCAGAAACCAGCAACGAGGGGAAGGAGAGUGCAUCUACAUACCCUUGUAGAUCGCUAAGCGGAAGCGUUCAAGAGAACGGGGUUGAAGGAGUCGUACUCGUCGUGAUCCAAAUCACCGAUGAUCCUAGUGCCGAACGGACGGCACCUCCGCGUUCAACACACGUACAGCCCGGUGACGUAUCCCACGCCUUGAUCCAGCAAGGAGAGAGGGAGAGGUUGAGGAAGACUCCAUCCAGCAGCAGCACAACGGCGUGGUGGUGGUGGAGGAGCGUGGCAAUCCUGCAGGGCUUCGCCAAGCACCACGGGAGAGGAGGAAGGAGAGAUGCAGGGCUGCAUCAUAUAGAGGAGAGGAACUCGCGUCUUAUGAGCAGCCCAAACCUCAACUAUAUAUAGGGGAAGGGGAGGGGCUGCGCCCCCUUUAGGGUUUCCACCCCUAGGGGUGGCGGCCAGCCUAGAUCCCAUCUAAGGGAGGCGGCCAAGGGGGAGGGGGAGAGGGAGGCGCACCAGGAUGGGCCUUAGGGCCCAUCUGCCCUAGGGUUUGCCCCCUUCUCCUCUCCCUUGCGCCUUGGGCCCUUGUGGGGGGGCGCACCAGCCCACCUGGGGCUGGUCCCCUUCCACACUUGGCCCAUGAAGCCCUCCGGGGCUGGUGGCCCCACUUGGUGGACCCCCGGGACCCUCCCGGUGGUCCCGGUACGUUACCGAUAAACCCCGAAACUUUUCCGGUGACCAAAACAGGACUUCCCAUAUAUAAAUCUUUACCUCCGGACCAUUCGGGAACUCCUCAUGACGUCCGGGAUCUCAUCCGGGACUCCUAACAACAUUCGGUAACCACAUACAAACUUCCUUUAUAACCCCAGCGUCAUCGAACCUUAAGUGUGUAGACCCUACGGGUUCGGGAGACAUGCAUACAUGACCGAGACGUUCUCCGGUCAAUAACCAACAGCGGGAUCUGGAUACCCAUGUUGGCUCCCACAUGUUCCACGAUGAUCUCAUCGGAUGAACCACGAUGGCAAGGACUUAAUCAAUCCCGUAUACAAUUCCCUUUGUCUAUCUGUACGAUACUCGCCCGAGAUUCGAUCGUCGGUAUCCCGAUACCUUGUUCAAUCUUGUUACCGGCAAGUCUCUUUACUCGUUCCGUAACACAUCAUCCCAUGAUCAACUCCUUGAUCACAUUGUGCACAUUAUGAUGAUGUCCUACCGAGUGGGCCCAGAGAUACCUCUCCGUCACACGGAGUGACAAAUCCCAGUCUCGAUUCGUGCCAACCCAACAGACACUUUCAGAGAUACCCGUAGUGUACCUUUAUAGCCACCCAGUUACGUUGUGACGUUUGGCACACCCAAAGCACUCCUACGGUAACCGGGAGUUGCACAAUCUCAUGGUCUAAGGAAAUGAUACUUGACAUUAGAAAAGCUUUAGCAUACGAACUACUUAGGAUUGGGUCUUGUCCAUCACAUCAUUCUCCUAAUGAUGUGAUCCCGUUAUCAACGACAUCCAAUGUCCAUGGUCAGGAAACCGUAACCAUCUAUUGAUCAACGAGCUAGUCAACUAGAGGCUUACUAGGGACAUGGUGUUGUCUAUGUAUCCACACAUGUAUCUGAGUUUCCUAUCAAUACAAUUCUAACAUGGAUAAUAAACGAUUAUCAUGAACAAGGAAAUAUAAUAAUAAUCAAUUUAUUAUUGCCUCUAGGGCAUAUUUCCAACAGUCUCCCACUUGCACUAGAGUCAAUAAUCCAGUUCACAUCGCUAUGUGACUAACACUCAAGGUCACAUGCCCAUGUGACUAACACCCAAAGAGUUUACUAGAGUCAAUAAUCUAGUUCACAUUUACCAUGUGAUUAACACUCGAUGAGUUCUGGGUUUGAUCAUGUUAUGCUUGUGAGAGAGGUUAUAGUCAACGGGUCUGAACCUUUCAGAUCCGUGUGUGCUUUACAAAUCUCUAUGUCAUCUCCUAGAUGCAGCUACCACGCUCUAUUUGGAGCUAUUCCAAAUAGCUGUUCUACUAUACGAAUCCAGUUUACUACUCAGAAUAAUCUGGAUUAGUGUCAAAGUUUGCAUCGGUGUAACCCUUUACGAUGAACUCUUUUACCACCUCCAUAAUCGAGAAAAUUCCUUAGUCCACUAGUUACUAAGGAUAACUUUGACCGCUGUCCUGUGAUCCAUUCUUGGAUCACUCUUGUACCCCUUGACUGACUCAUGGCAAGGCACACUUCAGGUGCGGUACAUAGCAUAGCAUACUGUAGAGCCUAUGUCUUAAGCAUAGGGGACGACCUUCGUUCUUUCUCUCUAUUCUGCCGUGGUCGAGCUUUAAGUCUUAACUUCAUACCUUACAACUCAGGCAAGAACUCCUUCUUUGACUGAUCCAUCUUGAACACCUUCAAGAUCAUGUCAAGGAAUGUGCUCAUUUGUAAGUACCAUUAAGUGUUUUGAUCUAUCCUUAUAGAUCUUGAUGCUCAAUGUUCAAACAGCUUAAUCCAGGCUUUCCAUUGAAAAAACACUUUCCAAAUAACCCUAUAUGCUUUCCAGAAAUUCUACGUCAUUUCUGAUCAACAAUAUGUCAACAACAUAUAUUCAUCAGAAAUUCUAUAGUGCUCCCACUCACUUCUUUGGAAAUACAAGUUUCUCAUAAACUUCGUAUUCACCCAAAAUCUUUGAUCAUCUCAUCAAAGCAUACAUUCCAACUCGAGAUGCUUACUCCAGUCCUUAGAAGGAUUGCUGGAGCUUUGCAUACUUAUUAGCAUAUUUCAGGAUUGACAAAACCUUCCGGUUGUAUCACAUACAACCUUUCCUCAAAAAUCGUCGAGGAAACAAUGUUUUGACAUCCUAUCUGCAAGAUUUCAUAAAUGAUGCAGUAAUUGCUAAUAUAAUUCCAACAGACUCUUAGCAUCGCUAUGAGUGAGAAAGUCUCAUCGUAGUCAACUCCUUGAACUUGUCGGAAAACAUCUUAAUGACAAGUCGAGCUUUCUUAAUGGUGAUACUUACCAUCAUUGUCCGUCUUCCUUUUAAAAUCCAUAUGUACCUAACAGCCUUACGACCAUCAAGUAGUUCUUCCAAAGUCUACACUUUGUUUUCACAUAUGGAUCCUCUCUCGGAUUAUAUGGCCUUGAGCCAUUUUGGAAUCCAUGCCCACCAUCGCUCCUCCAUAGCUCGUAGGUUCAUCGUUGUCUAGCAACAUGACUUCCAAGACAGGAUUACGUACCAUUCUGAAGCAGUACACAUCCUUGUCAUCCCACGAGGUUUGGUAGUGACUUGAUCUGAAGUUUCAUGAUCACUAUCAUAAGCUUCCACUUCAAUUGGUGUAGGUGCCACAGGAACAACUCCCUGUGCCCUGCCACACACUAGUUGAAGAGAUGGUUCAAUAACCUCAUCAAGUCUCCACCAUCCUCCCACUCAAUUCUUUCGAGAGAAACUUUUCCUCGAGAAAGGACCCGAUUCUAGUAACAAUCCCUUAUUGCUUUCGAAUCUGAGACAGGAGGUAUACCCAACCGUUUUGGGUGUCCUAUGAAGAUGUAUUUAUCCGCUUUGGGUUCGAGCUUAUCGGCCUGAAACUUUUUCACAUAAGCGUCGCAGCCCCAAACUUUUAAGAAAUGACAGCUUAGGUUUCUCUAAACCAUAGUUCAUACGGUGUCAUCUCAUCAGAAUUACGUGGUGCCCUAUUUAAAGUGAAUGUGGUUGUCUCUAAUGCCUAACCCAUAAACUAUUGUGGUAAUUCGAUAAGAGACAUCAUGGUAUGCAUCAUAUCCAAUAGGGUGCAGUUAUGAUGUUCGGACACACCAUCACACUAUGGUGUUCCAGGCUGUAUCAGUUGUGAAACAAUUUCCACAAUGUCUUAAUUCUGUGCCAAACUCGUAAUUCAGAUAUUCAUCUCUAUGAUCAUAUCAUAGAUAUUUUAUCCUCUUGUCACGAUGAUCUUUCAACUUCACCCUGAAAUUACUUGAACCUUUCAAUAAUUCAGACUCGUGAUUCAUCAAGUAAAUAUACUCAACAUCUACUCAAAUCAUCUAUGAAGUAAGAACAUAACGAUAUCCACUACAUGCCUCAGCACUCAUUGGACUGCACACAUCAAAAUGUAUUACUUCCAACAAGUUGCUUUCUAGUUCCAUUUUACUGAAACUGAGGCUUUCAGUCAUCUUGCCCAUGUGGUAUGAUUUGCAUGUCUCAAGUGAUUCAAAAUCAAGUGAGUCCAAAUGGUCCAUUUGCAUGGAGUUUCUUCAUGCAUAUACACCAAUAGACAUGGUUCGCAUGUCUCAAACUUUUCAAAAACGAGUGAUCCCAAAGAUCCAUCAACAUGGAGCUUCUUCAUGCGUUUUAUACCGAUAUGACUUACGUGGCAGUGCCACAAGUAGGUGGUACUAUCAUUACUAUCUUAUAUCUUUUGGCAUGAACAUGUGUAUCACUACGAUCGAGAUUCAAUAAACCAUUCAUUUUAGGUGCAAGACCAUUGAAGGUAUUAUUCAAAUGAACAGAGUAACCAUUAUUCUCCUUAAAUGAAUAGCCGUAUUGCGAUAGACAUAAUCCAAUCAUGUCUAUGCUCAACGCAAACAGCAAAUAACAAUUAUUUAGGUUUAACACCAAUCUCGAUGGUAGAGGGAGCGUGCGAUGCUUGAUCAUAUCAACAUUGGAAACACUUCCAACACAUAUCGUCAGCUCACCUUUAGCUAGUCUCCGUUUAUUCCGUAGCUUUUAUUUCAAGUUACAAACACUUAGCAACCGAACCGGUAUCUAAUACCCUGGUGCUACUAGGAGUACCAGUAAAGUACACAUUAACACAAUGUAUAUCCAAUAUACUUCUAUCGACCUUGCCAGCCUUCUCUUCUACCAAGUAUCUAGGGUAAUUCUGCUCCAGUGGCUGUUCCCCUUAUUACAGAAGCACUUAGUCUCGGGUUUGGGUUCAACCUUGGGUUUCUUCACUAGAGCAGCAGCUGAUUUGCCGUUUCAUGAAGUAUCCCUUCUUGCCCUUGCCCUUCUUGAAACUAGUGGUUUCACCAACCAUCAACAAUUGAUGCUCCUUCUUGAUUUCUACUUUUGUGGUGUCAAACAUCGCGAAUAUCUCAAGGAUCAUCAUAUAUGUCCCUGAUAUAUUAUAGUUCAUCACGAAGCUCUAGCAGCUUGGUGGUAAUGACUUCGGAGAAACAUCACUUUCUCAUCUGGAAGAUCAACUCCCACUCGAUUCAAAUGAUUGUUGUACUCAGACAAUCUGAGCACAAGCUCAACAAUUGAGCUUUUCUCCCUUAGUUUGCAGGCUAAGAAAAUCGUCAGAGGUCUUAUACCUCUUGACGUGGGCACGAGCCUGAAAUCCAAAUUUCAGCCCUCGAAACAUCUCAUAUGCUUCGCGGCGUUUCAAAACGUCUUCGGUGCCUCAACUCUAAACCGUUUAACUAAACUAUCACGUAGUUAUCAAAAUGUGUAUGUCAGAUGUUCGCAACAUCCACAGACAACGUUCGAGGUUCAGCACAUUGAGUGGUGCAUUAAGGACAUAAGCCUUCUAUGAAGCAAUGAGGACAAUCCUCAGUUUACGGACCUAGUCCGCAUAAUUGCUACUAUCAACUUUCAACUAAUUUUUUUCUCUCUAGGAACAUAUCUAAACAGUAGAACUAAAGUGCGAGCUAUGACAUAAUUUGCAAAAUCCUUUUGACUAUGUUGAGGAUAAACAAGUUGAUCUUAUGAACUUCCACUCAGAUAGAUAUCCCUCUAGUCAUCUAAGUGAUUACAUGAUCCGAGUCAACUAGGCCGUGUCCGAUCAUCACGUGAGACGGACUAGUCAUCAUCGGUGAACAUCUUCAUGUUGAUCGUAUCUACCAUACGACUCAUGCUCGACCUUUCGGUCUCUUGUGUUCCGAGGCCAUGUCUGUACAUGCUAGGCUCGUCAAGUCAACCUAAGUGUUUCGGGUGUGUAAAUCUGUCUUACACCCGUUGUAUGUGAACGUUAGAAUCUAUCACACCCGAUCAUCACGUGGUGCUUCGAAACGACGAACUUUCGCAACGGUGCACAGUUAGGGGGAACACUUUCUUGAAAUUUUAAUGAGGGAUCAUCUUAUUUACUACCGUCGUUCUAAGCAAAUAAGAUGUAUAAACAUGAUAAACAUCACUUGCAAUCAAAUAGUGACAUGAUAUGGCCAAUAUCAUAGUGCUCCUUUUGAUCUCCAUCUUCGGGGCUCCAUGAUCAUCAUCACCGGCAUGACACCAUGAUCUCCAUCAUCAUGAUCUCCAUCAUCGUGUCUUCAUGAUGUUGUCUCGCCAACUAUUACUUCUACUACUACAGCUAACGGUUAGCAAUAAAGUAAAGUAAUUACAUGGCGUUGUUUAAUGACAAGCAGGUCAUAUAAUAAAUUAAGAAACUCCUAUGGCUCCUGCCGGUUGUCAUACUCAUCGACAUGCAAGUCGUGAUUCCUAUUACAAGAACAUGAUCAAUCUCAUACAUCACAUAUCAUUCAUCACAUUCUUCUUGGCCAUAUCACAUCACAUAGCAUACCCUGCAAAAACAAGUUAGACGUCCUCUAAUUGUUGUUUGCAUGUUUUACAUGGCUGCUAUGGGUUUCUAGCAAGAACGUUUCUUACCUAGGCAAAACCACAACGUGAUAUGCCAAUUGCUAUUUACCCUUCAUAAGGACCCUUUUCAUCGAAUCCGAUCCGACUAAAGUGGGAGAGACAAACACCCGCCAGCCACCUUAUGCAACUAGUGCAUGUUUGUCGGUGGAACCGGUCUCACGUAAGCGUACGUGUAAGGUUGGUCUGGGCCGCUUCAUCCCACAAUGCCGCCGAAUCAAGAUUGGACUAGUAACGGUAAGCAUAUUGAACAAAAUCAACGCCCACAACUACUUUGUGUUCUACUCGUGCAUAGAAUCUACGCAAUAGACCUAGCUCAUGAUGCCACUGUUGGGUAACGUAGCAGAAAUUCAAAAUUUUCCUACGUGUCACCAAGAUCUAUCUAUGGAGAAACCAGCAACGAGGGGAAGGAGGGUGCAUCUACAUACCCUUGUAGAUCGCUAAGCGGAAGCGUUCAAGAGAACGGGGUUGAAGGAGUCGUACUCGUCGUGAUCCAAAUCACCGAUGAUCCUAGUGCCGAACGGACGGCACCUCCGCGUUCAACACACGUACAGCCCGGUGACGUAUCCCACGCCUUGAUCCAGCAAGGAGAGAGGGAGAGGUUGAGGAAGACUCCAUUCAGCAGCAGCACAACGGCGUGAUGGUGGUGGAGGAGCGUGGCAAUCCUGCAGGGCUUCGCCAAGCACCACGGGAGAGGAGGAAGGAGAGAUGCAGGGCUGCGUCAUAUAGAGGAGAGGAACUCGCGUCUUAUGAGCAGCCCAAACCUCAACUAUAUAUAGGGGAAGGGGAGGGGCUGCGCCCCCUUUAGGGUUUCCACCCCUAGGGGUGGCGGCCAGCCUAGAUCCCAUCUAAGGGAGGCAGCCAAGGGGGAGGGGGAGAGGGAGGCGCACCAGGAUGGGCCUUAGGGCCCAUCUGCCCUAGGGUUUGCCCCCUUCUCCUCUCCCUUGCGCCUUGGGCCCUUGUGGGGGGGGGGGGAGCACCAGCCCACCUGGGGCUGGUCCCCUUCCACACUUGGCCCAUGAAGCCCUCCGGGGCUGGUGGCCCCACUUGGUGGACCCCCGGGACCCUCCCGGUGGUCCCGGUACGUUACCGAUAAACCCCGAAACUUUUCCGGUGACCAAAAUAGGACUUCCCAUAUAUAAAUCUUUACCUCCGGACCAUUCCGGAACUCCUCGUGACGUCCGGGAUCUCACCCGGGACUCCGAACAACAUUCGGUAACCACAUACAAACUUCCUUUAUAACCCUAGAGUCAUCGAACCUUAAGUGUGUAGACCCUAUGGGUUCGGGAGACAUGCAGACAUGACCGAGACGUUCUCCGGUCAAUAACCAACAGCGGGAUCUGGAUACCCAUGUUGGCUCCCACAUGUUCCACGAUGAUCUCAUCGGAUGAACCACGAUGUCAAGGACUUAAUCUAUCCCGUAUACAAUUCCCUUUGUCUAUCGGUACGAUACUCGCCCGAGAUUCGAUCGUCGGUAUCCCGAUACCUUGUUCAAUCUCAUUACCGGCAAGUCUCUUUACUCGUUCCGUAACACAUCAUCCCGUGAUAAACUCCUUGAUCACAUUGUGCACAUUAUGAUGAUGUCCUACCGAGUGGGCCCAGAGAUACCUCUCCGUCACACGGAGUGACAAAUCCCAGUCUCGAUUCGUGCCAACCCAACAGACACUUUCGAAGAUACCCGUAGUGUACCUUUAUAGCCACCCAGUUACGUUGUGACGUUUGGCACACCCAAAGCACUCCUACGGUAACCGGGAGUUGCACAAUCUCAUGGUCUAAGGAAAUGAUACUUGACAUUAGAAAAGCUUUAGCAUACGAACUACACGAUCUAGUGCUAUGCUUAGGAUUGCGUCUUUUCCAUCACAUCAUUCUCCUAAUGAUGUGAUCCCGUUAUCAACGACAUCCAAUGUCCAUGGUCAGGAAACCGUAACCAUCUAUUGAUCAACGAGCUAGUCAACUAGAGGCUUACUAGGGACAUGGUGUUGUCUAUGUAUCCACACAUGUAUCUGAGUUUCCUAUCAAUACAAUUCUAGCAUGGAUAAUAAACGAUUAUCAUGAACAAGGAAAUAUAAUAAUAAUCAAUUUAUUAUUGCCUCUAGGGCAUAUUUCCAACAGUCAGAUUGUUCGGUGUUGGGCAGUGCGGUUGAGUCCGGGCUGUUAUUGCCGGGUUCCCCUUCCCAUACUACGGACGGCUUGAAUAGCCUUUCCAAGAAGAUGUUGGGAGGGACUGCAUCGCGUUUUGCGCCGAUGCGUGCCAGGACAUCCGCCGCCUGAUUAUUUUCCCGGGCUAUAUGGUGAAAUUCGAGCCCUUCGAACCGAGCUGACAUUUUUAAGACGACGUUGCGAUAAGCUGCCAUUUUUGGAUCCUUGGCAUCGAAGUCUCUGUUUAUUUGGGAUAUUGCAAGGUUCGAAUCCCCUCGCACUUCUAGGCGUUGAAUACCCAUGGAUACUGCCAUCUAGAGACCAUGUAAGAGGGCCUCGUAUUCGGCUGCAUUGUUGGAGUCUGUGUACAUAAUCUGGAGUACAUAUUGAACUAUGUCUCCUGUGGGGGACGUCAAAACGACGCCAGCCCCCAGACCGGCCAACAUUUUGGAGCCGUAGAAAUGCAUGAUCCAGUUUUAAUAUGUGCCGUACUCUUUAGGGAGUUCAGCCUCCGUCCAUUCUGUGACGAAGUCAGCCAAAACUUGCGACUUGAUAGCUCGCCGUGGCUUAUAAGUUAUGUCGAACGAGAGGAGCUCGAUGGCCCAUUUCGCAAUCCGGCCCGUUGCGUCGCGGUUGUUUAUAAUAUCGUUUAGUGGUACUUCUGAGGCUACUGUUAUUGAACACUCUUGAAAGUAGUGUCGCAGCUUCCGGGAUGCCAUGAAUACCGCGUACGCAAUCUUUUGAUAAUGCGGGUACCUUGAUUUGCACGGAGUGAGGACAGUGGCCACAUAAUAGACCGGCUUCUGAAGGGGGAAUUUGUGUCCGUCCGUUUCUCGUUCGACGACGAGCACUGCGCUCACAACCUGAUGGGUUGCUGCAAUGUAUAAUAGCAUUGGUUCGCCAAUGUUUGGCGCGGCCAGGACUGGGUUUGUUGCCAAUAUGGCUUUUAUUUUGUCGAGUCCGGCCGUGGCUGCGUCCGUCCACUCGAAGUGUUCGGUGCGCCGAAGGAGGCGGUAAAGGGGGAGUGCCUUUUCUCCCAAGCGGGAGAUAAAGCGGCUUAGAGCCGCCACGCAUCCGGUUUACUUUUGUAUUUGUUUGAGGUCCUUUGGGAUAUCCAAUUGUGACAGAGCUCGGAUCUUGGCUGGAUUUGCUUCAAUUCCUCUACCGAAUACAAUGAAGCCCAAGAGCUUACCGGCUGGAACGCCGAAAACGCAUUUUUCCGGGUUGAGCUUGAUGUCGUAUGUUCGAAGGUUAUCAAAUGUGAGCCUCAAGUCGUCUACUAGGGAUUCAACAUGUCUUGUUUUUACGACCACAUCAUCUACGUAUGCCUCCACUGUUUUGCCGAUCUGGUUUGCCAGACAUGUCUGAAUCAUGCGCUGAUAUGUUGUUUUGAGCCCGAAGGGCAUUGUGUUGAAGCAGAAUGGGCCGUAUGGUGUGAUGAAUGCCGUUGCGGCUUGGUCUGAUUCUGCCAUCUUGAUUUGAUGGUAGCCGGAAUAUGCGUCGAGCAAGCACAACAAAUCGUGUCCUACAGUAGCGUUGAUAAUUUGAUCGAUGCGAGGGAGGGGGAAGGGAUCCUUUGGGCAAGCCUUAUUAAGGUCUUUAAAAUCAACGCACAGGCGCUAGGAUUUGUCCUUCUUUGGUACCAUCACCAGGUUUGCUAGCCAGUUCGGAUGUUUUAUAUCUCUGAUGGAUCCGGCCUCUAAUAGCUUGGCUAGCUCCUCUCCCAUGGCCUGUCUCUUAGGUUCGGAAAAACGCCGAAGAGCCUGUUUGACAGGUUUGAAUCCUUUAGGAUAUUUAAGCUGUGUUCGGCCAGCCUGCGUGGGAUUCCUGGCAUGUCUGAAGGGUGCCAGGCGAAAAUGUCCCAGUUCUCACGUAGGAACUCUCGUAGUGCGGCGUCUACAUCAGGGUUUAAUUGUGCACCGAUGGAAGCUGUUUUAUUGGGGUCCGUUGGAUGGACCUGGAAUUUGACUAUUUCGUCCGCUGGUUUAAAUGAGGUGGACUUGGAUAUUUUGUCGAGUAUCACAUCAUCCCUGUUCACCGUGGAGCGCAGCGCAGUCAGCUCCUCAGCCGCUAGGGCUUCGGAUAGUGCCUCAAGGGCCAGUGCGACUGUCUUAUUUUAGGCGCGGAGUGCUAUGUCCAGAUCACUAGCGAGAGUGAUGAUUCCGUUCGGCCCGGGCAUCUUGAGUUUCAUGUACCCAUAAUGGGGUAUUGCUUGGAAGAUUGUGAACGCUUCCCGCCCUAGCAGAGCAUGGUAUCCGCUACUGAACGGGACCACUUGGAACGUGACCUCCUUGGACCUGUAAUUAUCCGGCGUGCCGAACACCACAUCUAGUGUGAUUUUUCCUGUACAGCACGCUUCCUGACUGGGGAUUAUUCCUCUAAAGGUUGUGCUGCUUCGCUCAAUGCGGUUCCAGUCUAUUUCCAUUUUUUGAAGGGUUUCCUCAUAAAUGAGGUUCAAUCCGCUGCCUCCAUCCAUGAGUACCUUGGUAAGGCGAAAGCCGUCCACUAUUGGACUGAGGACCAAUGUGGCUGGUGCUCGGGCUGUUCGGAAUUUAGGUUCAUCACUGGCAUUAAAAGUAAUAGCCGUGUCACUCCAUGGGUUUAUUGUUGCUACUUGGUAGACUUCGGCAAGGCUGCGGAGUGUUCUUUUUCGCAUAUUAUUUGAUGCGGAAGUCUCGAAGACUGUUAAUACCGUACCGGUAUCCCUGGGGUGGCUUUCUAUGGCCUCCGGAAUUAGGAGAUCUUUGCCAAUUUUGGCCACCUGCCGGAGUAUCCAACAUGCUCUAAGGCUGUGAGUUGGUGUGGCGCCCUCUGUACUGUGAAUUUUACAGGGUCGAUUAAGCCAUCCUUCCAAUACGCUUCCAUGCCCUGUAGAGGAUUUUUGCUUUUUGGUGUUUAACCCGGGUGUCUGGCGAAGAUGCACCCUUUUAUUUUGGACUGGGUUUGUAUUCAGGGCCGGAUUGUCCCAAAAUUUUAUUUUGGUUUUCCAGUCGCUAUCCAUCGCAUAGUACUUUCGUACUAUGGACGCCAAGUCAGCGAAGCAUGUAAUAUCACGGCGACUUAUGGCGUUGAGGAUUCCCUUGUCCGUGCAAUUAUUGCAGAAGAAUGAGAUUGCGUCUUCCUCGCGGCAGUCCUUGAUCCUGUUCAUAGCCAGGAGGAAUCUGGCCCAGUAAUGAUGUACUGUUUCUUCGGGCUUUUGCCUAAUUUGGGAUAGAUCGCUUAUGUUCGGGUGGGUGGGUGGAAUUAAAUCCGAAAACUGACCCGAUAUGAGACUCAGAGGCCAAGGAGUUUCCGAACUCGGAAGUUUGGAUUCUUGGAUGUUGUCCAAUGAGUCUAGCCCGUCGCCUGACUCUAAGUUCAGGUCUUGAGUGAUGUCCUCCCUUCCGCGGGUAUCCGGCUUGGAGGGAUCGGGAAUCCAGACGUAACUAGUCCUUAAGAUAGAUGAAGGGUCGCCGCACUGUCCCUCUACCAUAGCAAUGUGAUGGGUGACCUGGGGAGAGUUAAUCUCUCUUAGAUCGGGUUUAGGCCCAAUCUGGUCAUAAUCCGUGGCGACUCCCAGGGCGGCGAUGCGAUCCAAGAGCUCGUUUAUGGAAGAGAGCUCCAUUGGAUCUAACUGCUCGGCGAGUUCCGAGCUGACAUGAAUACUGCUUUUGAUGACCCGAGAGGUCAUCGUCGGCGCAGCAGCCGAACAGGCGGUCAUAAGAAAACCGCCUAGCCGGAGAGUUUGGCCGACAGCCAAAGCUCCCUUAGCAACGGUUCCGUCUUUAAAGACGGGAUGAGGCAUCCUUCCUGAUGGCGACGGCACAGAGGAACUCUCAAUGAAAGCACCAAUGUCGGUGUCAAAACCGGCGGAUCUCGGGUAGGGGGUCCCGAACUGUGCGUCUAGGCGGAUGGUAACAGGAGACAAGGGACACGAUGUUUACCCAGGUUCGGGCCCUCUCGAUGGAGGUAAAACCCUACUCCUGCUUGAUUAAUAUUGAUGAUAUGGGUAGUACAAGAGUAGAUCUACCACGAGAUCAAGGAGGCUAAACCCUAGAAGCUAGCCUAUGGUAUGAUUGUUGUUGUCCUACGGACUAAAACCCUUCGGUUUAUAUAGACACCAGAGAGGGUUAGGGUUACACAGAGUCGGUUACAAUGGUAGGAGAUCUACAUAUCCGUACCACCAAGCUUGCCUUCCACGCCAAGGAAAGUCCCUUCCGGACAUGGGACGAAGUCUUCAAUCUUGUAUCUUCAUAGUCCGGGAGUCCGGCUGAAGGUAUAGUCCGGCUAUCCAGACACCCCCUAAUCCAGGACUCCCUCACCCAGGUUUUCAGCCAAGAUUAUAACUAACCAUGUCGACAAUAACUCUUAAACAUUAUAUUAACUCUUAUGAGUAGAGGCCGCGGGAAAAAGCCUAGUAGUAGCGCGGAUAAAAGACUAGUAGUAGUGCGGGUGCCCGUGCUACUACUACGGCGCUACAGCUAACUCGUAGUAGUAGCGCAGGUGCCACCCGCGCUACUAGUACGUGUGUUAGUAAUAGCGCGGAUUCUACACACGCUACUAUUAACUAUCUGUAGCGCCUGUCUGUGACCCGCGCUACUACUAUUAAUUUCAAAAACCAAAAAAAAAAUCUCGACCCCGUGCAUGUUGUCAAUGGUGUCAUUGAUUCGAUCCAGCGACAACAAGGGUUGCCGGAGGUGUGGACGGGUAGUGGCAGACCAGAUCCGGCGAUGGCUGUUGGAGAUGGCCGGAUCCAGUGUAGAGCAAGACGACGGUGUGAGGAUCCUCUUCGCGGUCAAGGCGGAGAACUCCUGGUUGGCCAUGUCGACGACCUGUGCAGGCAUGGGCAUGGGAGGUGAGUAAAACCAAAGGGAGAGGGAGAGGAGAGGGAGAGGGAAAAAGAGAAACAAGGGAGAAAGGAGGGAGAUGGAGGGUGUAUCGGGGCUGCAUGGAGGCGAGGAGGAAGACGGGCGAGCUCUUGGAUGCCAGCGAUGCGAGGAGGAAGACGUUGGGUGCCAUGGAGGAGGAGAUAUUCUUGGGCAGGAGCACCAUGGAGAGAGGGGGAAAGUGAGGGAGAGAGGAGGAAAGUGAGAGAGGGGGAAAGUGAGGGAGAGAGGAGGGAUUCGGCCGAGGAUAUGGAGAUUUCACCUACCUCGUACUUAGUAGUAGCGAGGGGUAUAAAACCGCGCUACUACUAUCAACAUAGUAGUAGCAUGGGUUUGUACCCCUCGCUACUACUAUGGCAUGUCCCGGGAGGGCACGGUAGACACCGCUUAGUAGUAGCGAGGGUGAAAAACCCGCGCUAAUAGUAUCAACUUAGUAGUAGCGAGGGGUAAAAACCCGUGCUACUAGUAAGUAGCAGUAGCGACGGUUAUAAACCCGUGCUACUAGUAAGCGUCUGCCUAUAAGCUUUUCCCUAGUAGUGGCAUAUCUAUGACAUAAUCAACUAGCGAGCAAUAAUAAGAUAUCUCAAACAACAACACGUUGUGAAAACAACCAUGAUAUAAUAUGACAAUAGUGGUAUCUCGCUAGCCCUUUCUAAGACCGCAAAACAUAAAUGUAGAGCACCUCCAAAGUUCAAGCAGCGACCAAACAUUGUAAUUCAUGGUAGAAAAGAUCUAGUCAUGAUGCACCCAACAUUAGCAACACAUAGUGCAUCAGCAUGUCAACAGUGCUCUCUGGAUUUGGCACUUAUUUUAGAAGGUGAUGACACAACAUAAAAGUAAAUAGAUAGUCCCUUCGCAGAGGGAAGCAGUGAUUUGCAGCGGUGCCAGAGCUCAAAAUUUAAAAAUAGAGGUAAAUGAAAUUUUGGGAAAUUGAUACGUCUCCAACGUAUCUAUAAUUUUUUAUUGUUCCAUGCUAUAUUAUAUUAUGUUUUGGAUGUUUAAUGGGCUUAUUUAUACACUUUUAUAUUAUUUUUGGGACUAACCUAUUAACCGGAGGCCCAGCCCAUAUUGUUGUUUUUGUUCCUAUUUCAGUGUUUCGCAAAAAAAAGAAUAUCAAACGGAAUGAAACCUUCGGGAACAUGAUUUUUAAAACAAACGUGAUUCAGAGGACUUGGAGUCCAUGUCAAGCAGUCAAUGAGGAGGGCACGAGGCAGGGGGCGCUCCUACCUCCCCCUAGGCGCGCCCUCCACCCUCAUGGGGCCCACGUUGCUCCACCGACGUACUUCUUCCUCCUAUAAUACCUACGUACCCCCAAACCAUCAGGGGCAUCCACGAAAACCUAAUUCCACCGCCGCAACCUUCUGUACACGUGAGAUCCCAUCUUGGGGCCUUUUCCGGCGUCCUGCCGAAGGGGGCAUUGAUCACGGAGGGCUUCUACAUCAACACCAUAGCCACUCCGAUGAUGUGUGAGUAGUUUACCUCAGACUUUCGGGUCCAUAGUUAUUAGCUAGAUGGCUUCUUCUCUCUCUUUGGAUCUCAAUACAAAGUUCUCCACGAUUCUCGUGGAGAUCUAUUCGAUGUAAUCUUCUUUUGCGGUGUGUUUGUUGGGACCGAUGAAUUGUGGAUUUAUGAUCAAGUUUAUCUAUGAACAAUAUUUGAAUAUCCUCUGAAUUCUUUUAUGUAUGAUUGGUUAUCUUUGCAAGUCUCUUCGAAUUAUCAGUUUGGUUUGGCCUACUAGAUUGAUCUUUCUUGCAAUGGGAGAAGUGCCUAGCUUUGGGUUCAAUCUUAUGGUGUCGUUUCCCAGUGACAGCAGGGGCAGCAAGGCACGUAUUGUAUUGUUGCCAUCGAGGAUAACAAGAUGGGGUUUAUAUCAUAUUGCAUGAGUUUAUCUCUCUACAUCAUGUCAUCUUGCUUAAAGCGUUACUCUGUUCUUAUGAACUUAAUACUCUAGAUGCAUGCUGGGUAGCGAUCGAUGUGUGGAGUAAUAGUAGUAGAUGCAGGCAGGAGUCGGUCUACUUGUCACGGACAUGAUGCAUAUAUACAUGAUCAUACCUAGAUAUUCUCAUAACUAUGCUCAAUUCUAUCAAUUGCUCGACAGUAAUUUUUUCACCCACCGUAAUACUUAUGCUUUUGAGAGAAGCCACUAAUGAAACAUAUGGCCCCCGGGUCUAUUUUCCAUCAUAUUAAUCUUCCAACACAUAGCCUUUUCUAUUGCCCUUUUAUUUUACUUUGCAUCUCUAUUUCUCUUUAUCAUAGAAAUACUAAAAAUAUUAUCUUAUCAUAUCUAUCAGAUCUCACUCUCGUUAGUGACCGUGAAGGGAUUGACAACCCCUUUAUCGCGUUGGUUGCGAGGUUCUUAUUUGUUUUGUGUAGGUGCGUGGGACUUGAGCGUGGCCUCCUACUGGAUUGAUACCUUUGUUCUCAAAACUGAGGGAAAUACUUACACUACUUUGCUGCAUCACCUUUUCCUCUUCAAGGGAAAAACCAACGCAGUGCUCAAGAGGUAGCAAGAAAGAUUUCUGGCGCCGUUGCCGGGAGUUUACGCAAAAGUCAACAUACCAAGUACCCAUCACAAACUCUUAUCCCUUGCAUUACAUUAUUUGCCAUUUGCCUCUCGUUUUCCUCUCCCUCACUUCACCCUUGCCGUUUUGUUCGCCCUCUCUUCCGCUCACCUUUCCUUCGCCAUGUCGGAACCAAAAAGAGUUGGGGGUUCUCUCCCGAGUUUUAGUACUUUGGACGAUCCUUCUAUUCUAUCUAAACUCAUAAAUAAUGUCAUGGUAAAACCUGCCGGAGUUGUCAAUGAGAGUCUUAAUAAUUUUGAUGAAGAUGAUUCCGGAAUUUUUCGUUAUUUACUCGAUGAAUCUUUGAAAGAUGCUUGGGAUAGACUGUUAAGGAUCCGGGCUAACUAUGUGCCCCAAUACCAAAUUGAAGUUUACUUGAAGAGCUUUUAUGUUGCCCUACCUUCUUCGUUUAAGCAUGUCUUAGAUUCUAUAUUUGAAGAAGACUUUCUUGAAGGGGAUGCCGUAGAUACUUAUGAAAAGAUGAAAACCAUAUUUGGGCACCCCAUGAAUGAGAAAAUUAAAUCUACAUCUCUUUUGCUCUCCAGUCCUUGGUUCAUGUAAAUCUGAAUCUAGCCGGCACUACCCCUUCACAAGCUGUUGCAUAGUCUUCAGCGAGGUGCGGCGCAACUUCCGUGUGAGGGGAAAUGAACUUCUCCACGAAUACCUUCUCUCUCACCUUGAAAGCGGUAUAGUAGUAGCCUGGGUUGCACUUGAGCAAUCCAUUUUCCAUGAGAAACUUUACAACGUAGUACCUGGGUUUCAUCCAGCCCUCCAGCUGUAAUUGAUAAUUACUGACCGUUGAGCAAUGUAGGUAGGUUCCAACCCCACCUCAGAGAUGAGGAAAUCAGACCUGCGCUGCAGUAAUUCCUUUGACUUCCUCAGCAGACACGGAGCGUUACGCACAACAAUGCUCACCUCAGCGUCUGACCACCUGAACAUCUUCUUCAAGUAGGCCACAUUGGCGGCGAUCUUCUCCUCGCUGAGGAAUCUGACAGCAUCCAACGUGUGUCUGAACAUCCUGAGCCACGAGGCAUGCCAAGGCCUUCGGCGCAUGCCACCAUCGCCCUGACGCGUUCUGGCUUGUUGCUCAGGACACCCCGCGCGCGGAGGGACAAUUUGGUGAUAUCGCAAUCAUCUAGCCCGCAUUGCCGUAGGAGCGCGACGUUGGGUUUGACCAUCCCGUCGAUGUCAGCGCCGGCGAGGUAGCCUUGCUUGAGCACCCGGAAGAGGUUCUCCGAGGAGCUGAAUAGGAGCAGGUAGUACCGCAACUUGGAAACAAUGGACCUGGAACAGAAGUGGGCGAAGGAGAGCGCGACGAGGCGCACGAUCUCAGUACGCGAGAGGCCGAGGCCGGUGAGCCCACGACGACGGGGGCUAGAGUUUUCUCUACUUUGGCGCAGAGGAACAACGGGUCUUUGGCGACGAGGGCGGCGACGUCGGUGCCGGAGAGGCCGAGGCCGGCGAGGAAGGAAAGGACGGCGUCGGGCUUGGACGGAGACUUGAGGUGGGAGAGCUUGGCGGAGGCCUUGAGUGCCUGGGGUCGGGUGAGGCCGCAGGUGGAGACGAGGUAGUCGUCGACGACGAAGCUAGGGUUUGGGGAAACGCCGGGCGCGGCGGCCGCGGAGAGGGGGCGGUGGAGAGGGGGGCCUGAGAGGUGGCGGGGGAAGAGAGGAGCCGCACGAGGAUGCAGCCACGGAGGCGGAGCAUGGCGGCGGUGGCGGCGGAGAGAUUGAUUCCCUAUGGAGGCGGGUGCGAAUGGGAUGGUGCUUCGGAGGCGGGGAUGCGGCGCCCUGGCGAGGCAGGUGAGGAACGGAGGAAGAGAACAGGAGGAGAGAUCGAAGAGGAUGGCACUUCGGCGGCGCCGCCGAAGAGAUUUUCCGGUCCGCUGUGAGUGGAGAGGAAAAAUGGGAAAUGGCAGGUGCGAUGCGAAUGGAGGCUCCGCAAAUUGCAAUAUCACUGAAUCCCAGGGGUCUUUACGUCUUUCAAAAAUACAAACUACAUUUAAAAAACAUACAUAAUACAUUGAGCCUCAUGGAAACUUUCAUAUACACAUGGAAAAUAGAUAUCCCCUCCGUUCAAUAACGUAGUGCGUAUAGAUUUUCGAAAGUCAGACUUUGCAAAAUAUGAUCAAAUUUAUAAAGAAAACUACUUAUACCUACAUUAUCAAAUAUAUAAAAUAUGAACCUACGUCUUGUCUUAUGAUGAACCUAAUGAUAUAUGUUUGACAUCUAGAUGUAAAUGUUUUUCUUCACAAACUUGGUCAAAUUUUGUUAGGUUUGACUUUUCAAAAAAUCUGUAUGCAAUCAUUAUGCAAUCGGUAUAAUAAGGAAAAUGGCUUUGAGAGAUAAGAUUAUAUCACAAAAUAAGUUAUUAUACGACUUGUACUUAUCUUGUGAUUUUUUUGUAGGUAUAGUACUUCCUCCAUUUUUAUUUACUCUGCAUAUUAGAGUUGACUGAAGUCGAACUUCGUAAAGUUUGACCAAGUUUAUAAAAAAUAUAUAAAUAUUUACCCUAACAAAUCUAUAUGAUACGAAAGUACGUUCAAUAAUGAAUAUAAUGGUAUUGAUUUGUUAUUGUACAAGUUAAUAUUUUUGACUAUAAACUUUGUCAAAAUUUAUAAAGCUUGACUUUGACUAAAACUAAUAUGGAGAGUAAAUAAAAACGAAGGGAGUAAAUGGCUAUGCUUUUUUUAUAGGUAGUAAAUGGUUACUUUUUUCCGAUUUUUUUAAAUGGUUAUGCUUGCUAAUCAAUCCAAUCCAAAUUAUAUGUCGCUCAAACAGAUGUAUCUAAUUAAUAUGGAUUGGAUGGAGCAGAAAAGUUCAUACGGAUAUAUAUUUUCUCAAAACUUGAAAGUAUGAUUUCUACAAGUAAAAAAAAUCAUAUGUGAACUAUGUUUGUUUUUAGCAUUUUGUGUGUGUUCAUGUUUUUCUCUCUCUCUCUCUCUCUCUCUCUUCAUUCUAGCCUCUUUUCCCCCACCUCACUCUGUUCUCACAUUGACAUUGUUGCCUUUUUCAACGGACUCCUACUUAUCUUUUCUAAAUUUUGCAAGGUGAGAAUUGAGAAGGUUAUUAUUCUUUAGUUUUAUGUGUAUAGCUAUAUUAGAGUUGAGAUCAAUUGCAUCGUGUCCACAAAUCCUCUAUAACACUAAGCUCCCUAGUUUUAAAAAGCCCACACUCAAUUAAGGUCUCUAAUUAGAAUUGGAUCAUCCAAUUUUGAUCGGGUCUACAAUUUCUCAAAGCUUCACAAUCCAAUUCUUUUAUACUAUACAAUAUGCUUCCUAAUUUUUAAGGCCUCAUAAUUAUUAAGGUAUUUAAUAUAGGUUGAUCAUCCAAUUUUGACUGGGUCAACAAUUUCUCAACCUCUUCAAUUGAAUUUUUUUAAUUCACUAUGUUCCAAAAUUUUGAAUCUCUUUCAUUCAAUUGAGGUAUUCAAUUUUGAUUUGGUUGACGAUUUUGACUGGGCCAAUGAUUUUCAAAUCAAUCAGCUGCAACUGACCUAUAAAAACAUAUCAAUCCCAUGCACCCCUCCCACCACAUAGAAAAAAGAAGCGUCACCAUAUGAUAUUGUAGUAUCAAUAUAGUACAUGCAACCACCGAUGCAGAAAUUUUCCCACAUAAAUAUAGGUUGGUUAGCGGAUGACACAGUCAUCUCCCCACCCGCCUAACUUAAUAUUCCAUCAGUUACUCCCUCCGUUCCACAAUGUAGCGCAUAUAAAUUUUUCUAGAAGUCAAACUUUAUAAACUUUGACCAAGUUUGUAGAGAAAAUCAUAUACAUCUAGAAUACCAAAUACGUGUGCUUAGAUACAUCACAACACAUACUUUCAUAUUAUAUACAUUUGGUAUUGUAGAUAUAAAUAGUUUUCUCUAUAAAAUUGGUCAAAGUUUAUAAAGUUUGACUUUGUAGAAAAUCUAUAUGCGCUACAUUAUGGAACGGAGGGAGUAUAAAAUAUGAAGGGUAUUAAUUUUGUAGAAAGUCAAACUUCUUUAACUUUGACCAACUUCAGAGCAAAAAUAUCAACAUCCACAAUAUUAAACAAAAAAAGUAUGGAAAUUCAUUUCGUGAUGAAUCUAAAAAUACUGAUUUAAUCUUAUGAAUUUUGAUAUAUUUCUCUACAAAUUUGAUGAAACUUAAAAGGUUUGAUUUUAAAAAAUAUAAUACACAUUAUAUUGGGAAACAGAGUGAUUAGUUUUUUAAGAUAUCCAACAACAUGAACGGCGCAGCAAAGCGCGCACAACCCUUCUAGUUAGUAGUAUAUCUAAGAACAAUUGGCAUCCCAUUGAUGAUCGAUCAACCUUCUUAGUCCAGCUAGUGGCUGGUCGUCUAGAGAUCUAUAUGGAGUCAGUUGAGAUGCGAUGGUCAGCCAAGUGGGUUGAUCAAUGCUCCUCUUAAAAUUCGAAGCCUAAAGUAGAUGUGCUACUCGAGAAAUAAAAAGACCAACGUAGACCGUACUAACAUCUAAUAUUUGACGUCACAUUUGAAUUUGAUACUAUUCACAUCCAUAAUUGUCCCUUUGCUCAUCGAAUUAUGAAUCUUAUAUAAAUGUUGUAAAUGAUCAAUUUUAUAAUAAUUUUAGGGUUGUAGUUCGGUGCAUAGGUAGCUCAGAGGAACCAUAGCCGUCACUUCCUCUCCAAAAAAGCUUAGGGUUCCUAUGCGGCCAUGCCUCCCGUGGCGCCGCUGCCGGUCCACCUCGUCUCCGGUGGCCCUAGGGCCAUGGGGACACGGUGGAUCUCAUCCCUUACCAGCGGGAGGGCUUCGUUUUUAAAUAUUUCUUUGAAUUUUGUUAGGGUUGUGUCCUGCUAAAGAGGAUAAGACAACGACGGCUUCGUGAAGAUUGAAUAAGGUUCUUCCCGCCUAGCCCCCGUCUCGAUGGCGCAUCUAACAUCGUCGGAGAGUGUGUGGAGGUGUGUCUCCGGCGGAUCUCACAGGAUUCGGUAGGUGGUUUGUCUUUGGUGGAUCUACUCGGACCCGGUCUUCGUUCGUCUACAUUUGUCUGUCAUUAGAUUGGAUCCUUCCGAUCUAUGGGUCUCAUCAUCGGCGGGGGUUACUAUUCUAUUGCGCUGGUCCUACGAGGCCUUAGCACGACAAGUUCCCGGCUGUCUACUACAAUAAGUUCUGCCCGGCUCCGGCGAGGGAAGGGCGAUGACAACGGCGCGUCUUCGGCUCGCUUUAAUGCUUGUAGUCUUUGCUAGAUGGUCUACGGAUGGAUGCGAUUUUUAUUAUUCCUAUUGUUCAUUGUAUUGUCAUGAUUGAAAAUAAAAAGAUCGAAAGAUUUCUCACAGAUAAGAAGCUCAGAAGAACCAUUAAAAGGACAAUCGUGUGGUCUCCCUAGAUGGUCCUUGGAGGGAGCGAUGUAAUUUCAUUUCCUUUUUAUUGCAUUCUCAUGAAUCUACGGGAUACACAGAUUUGGAAUAGCCAUGCGUUAUAUAGGUUUGGAAAAGAUGAAUGGGCAGGACAAAGCCCAUCAAGGUCCAGAGUUGAACAUGGUAUUUUUCUCUUCCCUGAUCUUGUGUGGUUGUUACAUUACAACGAGGACUAGAUGCAUUCAUUAACCUGAGGAGACUAUAUACGGUGAUUAUAUCGUGGUUAUCAUAUUUACCUAUUUUACAAAGAAUGAUCGGAUAUAAUUUACUGGUACAAUCCAUUGUGUGCCUUUCACGCUUCCGUCAGUUUAGUUUCCUCACACUUUAAGUAGUCUUGUGAAGUUGUGAUCAGGUAGCUCGCAAUCCAAAUUUCUGUAAUGAAUAUUUUUUUUUGGUCCAACGAGUAAAACGUAGACUUGGUGACCCUCAAAAGGGAUGAUAUUUUACAUAACGAGUAAAUCAUGAUGUCCUUAGAUAUUUCUUAUGAGUAUUUCUUCUUUUCUGCGGAAAAGUUUCUUGUCUUCCGAACUCUUGGAUGUGGGCAGAACUCUUGAUGAGCCGAGGCACCCGCAGCAUGCCAUUGUGAGUCAAGUUUGCCAUUGUUUGAUGGGAAGUUUUCAAGUGCUACAUGUAGAAGGACGCUAUAGUGGCUGCAAUCUUGCUGCUAAGUGACACGUACUGUCACCCUGUUUCUAAUGAAAAAAACUGAAGAACAAUGACUCAUUUAAACAUUGUUCAAUUUUGUGGUUCAUGAUGUUGGAAAUAUGCCCUAGAGGCAAUAAUAAAAGUAUUAUUAUAUUUCAAUGUUCAUGAUAAAUGUCUUUUAUUCAUGCUAUAACUGUAUUAUCCGGAAAUCGUAAUACACGUGUGAAUACUUAGACCACAAUAUGUCCCUGGUGAGCCUCUAGUUGACUAGCUCGUUGUGAUCAACAGAUAGUCAUGGUUUCUUGACUAUGGACAUUGGAUGUCGUUGAUAACGGGAUCACAUCAUUAGGAGAAUGAUGUGAUGGACAAGACCCAAUCCUAAGCAUAGCAUAAAAGAUCGUGUAGUUCGUUUUGCUAGAGCUUUGCCAAUGUCAAGUAUCUCUUCCUUCGACCAUGAGAUCGUGUAACUCCCGGAUACCGUAAGAGUGCCUUGGGUGUAUCAAACGUCACAACGUAACUGGGUGACUAUAAAGGUGCAUUACAGGUAUCUCCGAAAGUAUCUGUUGGGUUGACACGGAUCGAGACUGGGAUUUGUCACUCCGUAUGACGGAGAGGUAUCUCUGGGCCCACUCGGUAAUGCAUCAUCAUAAUGAGCUCAAUGUGACCAAGGUGUUGGACACGGGAUCAUGCAUUACGGUACGAGUAAAGUGACUUGCCGGUAACGAGACUGAACAAGGUAUUGGGAUACCGACGAUCGAGUCUCGGGCAAGUAACGUACUGAUUGACAAAGGGAAUUGUAUACAGGGUUUGAUUGAAUCCUUGACAUCGUGGUUCAUCCGAUGACAACAUCGAGGAGCAUGUGGGAGCCAUCAUGGGUAUCCAGAUCCCGCUGUUGGUUAUUGACCUGAGAGCAUCUCGGUCAUGUCUGCAUGUCUCCCGAACCCGUAGGGUCUACACACUUAAGGUUCGGUGACGCUAGGGUUAUUAGGAAGACUAGUAUGUGACUACCGAAUAUUGUUCGGAGUUCCGGAUGGGAUCCUGGACGUCACGAGGAGCUCCGGAAGGGUCCGAAGGUAAAGAUUUAUAUAUGGGAAGUUGUCAAACGGGCACCGGGAAGUUUCGGGGUCAUACCGGUAUUGUACCGGGGCCACCGGAAGGGUUCCGGGGGUCCACCGGGAGGGGCCACCCCUCCCGGGGGGGCACAUGGGCUGCGUGGGGCAGGGAGCCAGCCCCUGGUGGGCUGGGCGCACCCCCUCCCUUGGGCCCUUGCGCCUAGGGUUGAGGGGGGAACCCUAGAGGGGGCGCCCCCUUGGCUUGGGGGGCAAGCCACCCUCUCCCCCUCUCCCCUUGGCCGCCGCACCCCCCUAGAUGGGUUCUAGGGGGCCGGCCCCCUUCUCCCUUCCCCCAACAAAUAGAGGGGUGAGGGGAGGGCAGCCGCACCACCCUCCAAGGCGCAGCCCUCCCCUCCCCAACACCUCUCCUCCUCUGUUGUGUGCUUGGCGAAGCCCUGUCGGAGUACUGCCUCUCCACCAUCACCACGCCGUCGUGCUGCCGGUGGAGCUGUCUUCCUCAACCUCUCCUCCCCCCUUGCUGGAUCAAGAAGGAGGAGACGUCUCCCGUCCCGUACGUGUGUUGAACGCGGAGGUGCUGUCCGUUCAGCACUUGGUCAUCGGUGAUUCGAAUCACGUCGAGUACGAUUCCAUCAUCACCUUGCAAGCUUCCGCACGCGAUCUACAAGUGGUAUGUAGAUGCAAACUCACUCCCUUGACUCGUUGCUUAGAUGAACUCAUAGAUGGAUCUUGGUGAAACCGUAGGAAAAAUUUUAAUUUUCUGCAACGUUCCCCAACAGUGGCAUCAUGAGCCAGGUUUAUGCGUAGUUCUCUUUGCACGAGUAGAACACAAUUUUGUUGUGGGCGUGGAUUUUGUCAUCUUACUUGCCUCUACUAGUCUUUUCUUGCUCAACGGUAUUGUGGGAUGAAGCGGCCCGGACCAACCUUACACGUACGCUUACGUGAGACCGGUUCCACCGAGUGACAUGCACUAGUUGCAUAAGGUGGCUGGCGGGUGUCUGUCUCUCCCACUUUAGUUGGAGCGGAAUCGAUGAACAGGGCCCUUAUGAAGGGUAAAUAGAAGUUGACAAAAUCACGUUGUGGUGAUUCGUAGGUAAGAAAAUGUUCUUGCUAGAACCCAAUUGCAGCCACGUAAAAGAUGCAACAACAAUUAGAGGAUGUCUAACUUGUUUUUGCAGCGAUUGAUCAUGUGAUGUGAUAUGGCCAGAAGUUGUGAUGAAUGAUGAAUUGUGAUGUAUGAGAUCAUGUUCUUUGUAAUAGGAUUCACGACUUGCAUGUCGAUGAGUAUGACAACCGGCAGGAGCCAUAGGAGUUGUCUUUAUUUUUUGUAUGACCUGCAUGUCAUUGAAUAACGCCAUGUAAACUACUUUACUUUAUUGCUAAACGUUAGUCAUAGAAGUAGAAGUAGUCGUUGGCGUGACAACUUCAUGAAGACACGAUGAUGGAGAUCAUGAUGAUGGAGAUCAUGGUGUCAAGCCGGUGACAAGAUGAUCAUGGAGCCCCGAAGAUGAAGAUCAAUGGAGCUAUAUGAUAUUGGCCAUAUCAUGUCACAACUAUAUAAUUGCAUGUGAUGUUUAUUAUGUAUUAUGCAUCUUGUUUACUUAGGACGACGGUAGUAAAUAAGAUGAUCCCUUAUAAAAUUUCAAGAAGUGUUCUCCCCUAACUGUGCACCGUUGCUACAGUUCGUCGCUUCUAAGCAACACGUGAUGAUCGGGUGUGAUGGAUUCUUACGUUCACAUACAACGGGUGUAAGACAGUUUUACACAGCGAAAACACUUAGGGUUAACUUGACGAGCCUAGCAUGUGCAGACAUGGCCUCGGAACACGGAGACCGAAAGGUCGAACACGAAUCGUAUGGAAGAUACGAUCAACAUGAGAAUGUUCACCGACGAUGACUAGUCCGUCUCACGUGAUGAUCGGACACGGGCUAGUCGACUCGGAUCGUGUAACACUUAGAUGACUAGAGGGAUGUCUAAUCUAAGUGGGAGUUCAUAAUUUGAUUAGAACUUUAUUAUCAUGAACUUAGUCUAAAACCUUUGCAAAUAUGUCUUGUAGAUCAAUGGCCAACGCUAAUGUCAACAUGAACUUCAACGCGUUCCUAGAGAAAACCAAGCUGAAAGAUGAUGGCAGCAACUAUACGGACUGGGUCCGGAACCUGAGGAUCAUCCUCAUAGCUGCCAGGAAACAAUAUGUCCUAGAAGGACCGCUAGGUGACGCUCCCGUCGCAGAGAACCAAGACAUUAUGAAUGCUUGGCAGUCUCGUGCUGAUGAUUACUCCCUCGUUCAGUGCGGCAUGCUUUACAGCUUAGAACCGGGGCUCCAAAAGCGUUUUGAGCAUCACGGAGCAUAUGAGAUGUUCGAAGAGCUGAAACUAGUUUUCCAAGCUCAUGCCCGGGUCGAGAGAUAUGAUGUCUCCGACAAGUUCUACAGUUGUAAGAUGGAGGAAAAUAGUUCUGUCAGUGAGCACAUCCUGAAGAUGUCUGGGUUGCACAACCGUAUGACCCAGCUGAACAUUAACCUCCCAGAUGAGGCGGUCAUUGACAGAAUCCUCCAGUCGCUCCCACCAAGCUACAAGAGCUUUGUGAUGAACUACAACAUGCAGGGGAUGGAAAAGACCAUUCCUGAAGUGUUCUCGAUGCUGAAGUCAGCAGAGGCUGAAAUCAAGAAAGAACAUCAAGUGUUGAUGGUCAAUAAGACCACUAAGUUCAAGAAGGGCAAGGGUAAGAAGAACUUCAAGAAGGACGGCAAGGAGGUUGCCGCGCCUGGUAAGCCAGUUACCGGGAAGAAGUCAAAGAAUGGACCUAAGCCUGAGACUGAGUGUUUUUAUUGCAAGGGGAAGGGUCACUGGAAGCGGAACUGCCCCAAAUACUUAGCGGAUAAGAAGGCCGGCAACACCAAAGGUAUAUUUGAUAUACAUGUGAUUGAUGUGUACCUUACUAGUACUCGUAGUAACUCCUGGGUAUUUGAUACCAGUGCCGUUGCUCAUAUUUGUAACUCACAGCAGGAGCUGCGGAAUAAACGGAGACUGGCGAAGGACGAGGUGACGAUGCGCGUCGGGAAUGGUUCCAGAGUCGAUGUGAUCGCCGUCGGCACGCUGCCUCUACAUUUACCUACGGGAUUAGUUUUGAACCUGAAUAAUUGUUAUUUAGUGCCAAGUUUGAGCAUGAACAUUGUAUCUGGAUCUCGUUUAAUACGAGAUGGCUACUCAUUUAAGUCUGAGAAUAAUGGUUGUUCGAUUUAUAUGAGAGAUAUGUUUUAUGGUCAUGCUCCGAUGGUCAAUGGUUUAUUCUUAAUGAAUCUCGAGCGUAAUAUUACACAUGUUCAUAGUGUAGAUGCCAAAAGAUUUAAAGUUGAUAACGAUAGUCCCACAUACUUGUGGCACUGCCGCCUUAGUCACAUUGGUGUCAAGCGCAUGAAGAAGCUCCAUGCCGAUGGACUUUUAGAGUCUCUUGAUUAUGAAUCGUUUGACACGUGCGAACCAUGCCUCUUGGGCAAAAUGACCAAGACUCCGUUCUCCGGAACAAUGGAGCGAGCAACCAACUUGUUGGAAAUCAUACAUACCGAUGUGUGCGGUCCAAUGAGCGUUGAGGCUCGCGGAGGAUAUCGUUAUGUUCUCACUCUCACUGAUGACUUGAGUAGAUAUGGGUAUGUCUACUUAAUGAAACACAAGUCUGAGACCUUUGAAAAGUUCAAAGAAUUUCAGAAUGAGGUAGAGAAUCAACGUGACCGAAAGAUAAAAUUCUUACGAUCAGAUCGUGGAGGAGAAUACUUAAGUCACGAAUUUGGUACACACUUAAGGAAAUGUGGAAUCGUUUCACAACUCACGCCGCCUGGAACACCUCAGCGAAACGGUGUGUCCGAACGUCGUAAUCGCACUCUAUUGGAUAUGGUGCGGUCUAUGAUGUCUCUUACCGAUUUACCGCUAUCAUUUUGGGGAUACGCUCUAGAGACAGCUACAUUCACUUUAAAUAGGGCACCGUCUAAAUCCGUUGAGACGACACCGUAUGAAUUAUGGUUUGGAAAGAAACCUAAGAUGUCGUUUCUAAAAUUUUGGGGAUGCGAUGCUUAUGUCAAGAAACUUCAACCUGAAAAGCUCGAACCCAAGUCGGAAAAAUGCGUAUUCAUAGGAUACCCUAAGGAAACUGUCGGGUAUACCUUCUACUUAAGAUCCGAAGGCAAGAUCUUUGUUGCCAAGAACGGAUGCUUUCUGGAAAAAGAGUUUCUCUCGAAAGAAGUAAGUGGGAGGAAAGUAGAACUCGAUGAAGUACUACCUCUUGAGCGGGAAAGUGGCGCAGCGCAGGAAACCGUUUCUGUGAUGCCCACACCAACUGAAGAGGAAAACAAUGAUGAUGAUCAAGGUACUUCGGAUCAAGUUACUAUUGAACUUCGUAGGUCCACAAGGACACGUUCCGCACCAGAGUGGUACGGCAACCCUGUCCUGGAAAUCAUGUUGUUGGACAACAAUGAACCUUCGAACUAUGAAGAAGCGAUGGCGGGCCCGGAUUCCAACAAAUGGCUUGAAGCCAUGAAAUCCGAGAUAGAAUCCAUGUAUGAAAACAAAGUAUGGACUUUGACAGACUUGCCCGAUGAUCGGCGAGCGAUAGAAAACAAAUGGAUUUUUAAGAAGAAGACGGACGCGGAUGGUAAUGUUACAAUCUAUAAGGCUCGACUUGUCGCUAAGGGUUAUCGACAAGUUCAAGGGAUUGACUACGACGAGACUUUCUCUCCUGUAGCGAAGCUGAAGUCCGUUCGAAUCAUGCUAGCAAUUGCCGCAUACUAUGAUUAUGAGAUAUGGCAGAUGGACGUCAAAACAGCAUUCCUUAACGGGCAUCUUAAGGAAGAACUGUAUAUGAUGCAGCCGGAAGGUUUUGUCGAUCCUCGGAACGCUAACAAAGUAUGCAAGCUCCAGCGAUCCAUUUAUGGACUGGUGCAAGCAUCUCGGAGUUGGAACAUUCGCUUUGAUGAGAUGAUCAAAGCGUUUGGGUUUAUGCAGACUUAUGGAGAAGCCUGCGUUUACAAGAAAGUGAGUGGGAGCUCUGUAGCAUUUCUCAUAUUAUAUGUAGAUGACAUACUCUUGAUGGGAAACAAUAUAGAAUUUCUGGACAGCAUUAAGGCCUACUUGAAUAAGUGUUUUUCAAUGAAGGACCUUGGAGAAGCUGCUUAUAUAUUAGGCAUCAAGAUCUAUAGAGAUAGAUCGAGACGCCUCAUAGGUCUUUCACAAAGCACAUACCUUGAUAAGAUUUUGAAGAGGUUCAAAAUGGAUCAGUCCAAGAAGGGGUUCUUGCCUAUGUUACAAGGUGUGAGAUUGAGCUCGGCUCAGUCACCGACCACGGCAAAAGAUAAAGAAGAGAUGAGUGUCAUCCCCUAUGCUUCAGCCAUAGGAUCUAUUAUGUAUGCCAUGCUGUGUACCAGACCCGAUGUAAACCUUGCCGUAAGUUUGGUAGCAAGAUACCAAAGUAAUCCCGGCAAGGAACACUGGACAGCGGUCAAGAAUAUCCUGAAGUACCUGAAAAGGACGAAGGACAUGUUUCUCGUUUAUGGAGGAGACGAAGAGCUCGUCGUAAAGGGUUACGUCGACGCUAGCUUCGACUCAGAUCUGGAUGACUCUAAGUCACAAACCGGAUACGUGUAUAUGUUGAAUGGUGGAGCAGUAAGCUGGUGCAGCUGCAAGCUGAGCGUCGUGGCGGGAUCUACGUGUGAAGCGGAGUACAUGGCAGCCUCGGAGGCAGCGCAUGAAGCGAUUUGGGUGAAGGAGUUCAUCACCGACCUAGGAGUCAUACCCAAUGCGUCGGGGCCGAUCAAACUCUUCUGUGACAACACUGGAGCUAUUGCCCUCGCCAAGGAGCCCAGGUUUCACAAGAAGACCAGGCACAUCAAGCGUCGUUUCAACUCCAUCCGUGAAAAUGUUCAAGAUGGAGACAUAGAGAUUUGCAAAGUGCACACGGAUCUGAAUGUCGCAGAUCCGCUGACUAAACCUCUCUCGCGUGCAAAACAUGAUCAACACCAGAACUCUAUGGGUGUUCGAUUCAUCACAAUGUAACUAGAUUGGUGACUCUAGUGCAAGUGGGAGACUGUUGGAAAUAUGCCCUAGAGGCAAUAAUAAAAGUAUUAUUAUAUUUCAAUGUUCAUGAUAAAUGUCUUUUAUUCAUGCUAUAACUGUAUUAUCCGGAAAUCGUAAUACACGUGUGAAUACUUAGACCACAAUAUGUCCCUGGUGAGCCUCUAGUUGACUAGCUCGUUGUGAUCAACAGAUAGUCAUGGUUUCCUGACUAUGGACAUUGGAUGUCGUUGAUAACGGGAUCACAUCAUUAGGAGAAUGAUGUGAUGGACAAGACCCAAUCCUAAGCAUAGCAUAAAAGAUCGUGUAGUUCGUUUUGCUAGAGCUUUGCCAAUGUCAAGUAUCUCUUCCUUCGACCAUGAGAUCGUGUAACUCCCGGAUACCGUAAGAGUGCCUUGGGUGUAUCAAACGUCACAACAUAACUGGGUGACUAUAAAGGUGCUUACAGGUAUCUUCGAAAGUAUCUGUUGGGUUGACACGGAUCGAGACUGGGAUUUGUCACUCCGUAUGACGGAGAGGUAUCUCUGGGCCCACUCGGUAAUGCAUCAUCAUAAUGAGCUCAAUGUGACCAAGGUGUUGGACACGGGAUCAUGCAUUACGGUACGAGUAAAGUGACUUGCCGGUAAUGAGACUGAACAAGGUAUUGGGAUACCGACGAUCGAGUCUCGGGCAAGUAACGUACCGAUUGACAAAGGGAAUUGUAUACAGGGUUUGAUCGAAUCCUUGACAUCGUGGUUCAUCCGAUGACAACAUCGAGGAGCAUGUGGGAGCCAUCAUGGGUAUCCAGAUCCCGCUGUUGGUUAUUGACCUGAGAGCGUCUCGGUCAUGUCUGCAUGUCUCCCGAACCCGUAGGGUCUACACACUUAAGGUUCGGUGACGCUAGGGUUAUUAGGAAGACUAGUAUGUGACUACCGAAUGUUGUUCGGAGUCCCGGAUGGGAUCCUGGACGUCACGAGGAGCUCCGGAAGGGUCCGGAGGUAAAGAUUUAUAUAUGGGAAGUUGUCAAACGGGCACCGGGAAGUUUCGGGGUCAUACCGGUAUUGUACCUGGGCCACCGGAAGGGUUCCGGGGGUCCACCGGGAGGGGCCACCCCUCCCGGGGGGGCCACAUGGGCUGCGUGGGGCAGGGAGCCAGCCCCUGGUGGGUUGGGCGCACCCCCUCCUUUGGGCCCUUGCGCCUAGGGUUGAGGGGGGAACCCUAGAGGGGGCGCCCCCUUGGCUUGGGGGGCAAGCCACCCUCUCCCCCUCUCCCCUUGGCCGCCGCACCCCCCUAGAUGGGUUCUAGGGGGCCGGCCCCCUUCUCCCUUCCCCCAAUAAAUAGAGGGGUGAGGGGAGGGCAGCCGCACCACCCUCCAAGGCGCAGCCCUCCCCUCCCCAACACCUCUCCUCCUCCGUUGUGUGCUUGGCGAAGCCCUGUCGGAGUACUGCCUCUCCACCAUCACCACGCCGUCGUGCUGCCGGUGGAGCUGUCUUCCUCAACCUCUCCUUCCCCCUUGCUGGAUCAAGAAGGAGGAGACGUCUCCCGUCCCGUACGUGUGUUGAACGCGGAGGUGCUGUCCGUUCAGCACUUGGUCAUCGGUGAUUCGAAUCACGUCGAGUACGACUCCAUCAUCACCUUGCAAGCUUCCGCACGCGAUCUACAAGUGGUAUGUAGAUGCAAACUCACUCCCUUGACUCGUUGCUUAGAUGAACUCAUAGAUGGAUCUUGGUGAAACCGUAGGAAAAAUUUUAAUUUUCUGCAACGUUCCCCAACACAUGAGCCUUUUCUUCAAAGUUUACUUAAAAGUUGGGUUAUUAGGUAAAAAAUGGUUCCUUUCCUUUUGUGCUUGCAAUUUAUUGUCCUGACAAAAACACUUUUUAUUGCAGUGCUAAGAAAAUGCGUCUACUACUUGACUGAGCUAAAUACUCUUGAUAGCAAACCCUCUCUGGGCAUAUUCGUAGAUUCAAGGUGAGGAGACAUGCCAGCAUACAGACCAGCCUUAAAAAUAGUCAGAUAAACAUUGCAAGAUGUACAUACAUGGCACAUGUACGAUGUUCUAACAAGAGCAUAAAGUUGAUUGAUUCUUGAUAGCAUCACCUGAAUAUAUCACUCACGGAUUCAUGAAUGUUCCCCGUUGCAAUGCACGGCCAUUCACCUAGUAAAGGCAAUGAUUUGUUGGUAGUAGAGGCAUCUCAUGUUUCAAAGGGUUAAACCUUACCGUCGUGACCCGGCUCCAUGGCUGGGUCAAUCUUGCACCUCUGUUGGUGCCGAACCCUAGGCAAAUUCCCCCAAAUCUCUUGUUGUUUCUAUUGAUUGACCGAAUGUGAGGAGCGAUAGUAGAUCAAUAACUCUCGUAUAACCGAGGGAAAAAGAAAUGAAGAGAAGUUGGCGAAAGUAUCAAGUGGUACAUCUACUUUUUAUAAUAUCACAUGAAGCCGGCAAAAAGGAAAGCCGACCAACGAAGAAACUGCAUAGGGGACCUAUCAUGAGUGAACAUUGCGUGGGCGCCACUGGCCGCAUCUCAUCAUAUUGUUGUGUAGAAGAAGAAAUGACCGCCGAUGCUGCUGGUGCCUCCAUCUCUACGACCUUGCCGUCCAAGCCCGCAAUAGCAACAAACACGUAGCACUAGAGCACGGGAGGAGAGGUGAUCAGGGAAAUUCGUCUUUCUUGAUGGCAGGAUAAUUAGUGAUGGGCGACUCCACGCGACGCUGAUGUGAUUUCAGGCCACACUAAAGGAUGUCGGAGAAGGGGGCCGUAGGACGAACUCAACAACAUCGGUAGUGGGCUUGGUGGAUAUUGUGUCGAGGGCUCGGGGACGCACUCGGUGAAGGUGGUGGACCUCGGGGAGGGGGCCCUCAUACACGUGGAUGCAGGGGAAAAGAGGGUGCACGGGCUUGGAGGCAUUACUCAUCCACCUCUUCUGGCAAAGAGAGCUCAUCGGGGCCAACCGCGUGAAGGAGGAGCUUGAGGUAGCUUGGAGGAGGCGACGACGGCAGCCAGAUCCAUGUGGCAAGCCAGAGUGGAGGCAUCCCACAUGGGAGCAGUGAUUUCAGAGCCUAAGCUUAGAUGCACCUGCUAUUAUGUUUGUUCAUUGCUGCAUGGAGAUUCGGGAAAUGGGGCAUGAGGUUGCAUUGCUAGGGCGUGGAAAAUCCCCAAAACGAACUAUACAUGCAUGAAUAGUGCGAUACAUGUGGGUCUAUCAUGUAGCACACGAGGAGGGUUCGAACGAAGGACAAGCAGUGCCAUCUUGGUUGGAUUCUGAUCCAUGGCACCUAAUCGUCUGCAUUCAUCUAAGUCGUGGCUCACUUUGCUAGCCCGUGGUGUGACUUUGAAACUUUGAAUCCGAGUCAUGGCCUAAAGAUUUGUAUAGCUCCAGUUGGGGCCUGCGGUGUAGGAUCGUCAGUACGCACACCGAAUGUCAUCCACGACCGACAUCGGCCAACAGAUUGCUAGCUUACCAGACGCUACAAGAGGUAGCGUCCUUCGUGAAGUUUGUGUGCUUCAUCACCAACCAGGUCAUCCUAAGCCAUAAUGGACAACCCAUUCAUCUACGUAGUUGACUUCAACACUGGAGACGACUUCUCAUGGUCGUUGAUCAUGUCACACCUUGCUCACCAUGGCAACAAGCUGUUUCAUGUCACGUCACUUGCCACCACAUUAAUGCACCGCACGGAUACGCAUGCACCAACAGUCGUGCAUGGUGUCCGUCGGAGUUCGCGCGCGUCCCUAGGGUCUCCCAUUCCAGUACGAUGAGAAGGACCUCCUGGUCUGGGCUGGAAGUCACGUAAUGGUACCUACAACAAUCUCGAAAAGAGUAGAAGGCCUGGAUUUCAAGAGCAUCUGAGCUCGCACUUAGAAAUCUAUUUUUGUUCCCACGGUCCAUACAUAGAGAGAAACUAGAAAAGAAAACGCAAAACACGCAUACAUGCAUGCAUGCUUCCACAAAUGGGUUACCACAUACCUUUCUAGGAUUCUGGUGACCUCACAUUCAUUGUUGACCCCUUAUGACCUCACAUUCAUGGGAGAGAUUUCCUGAUCUCACAUUGUCUCUAUAAAAGUCUAUCACCUCUACGAAUCAUGUGUCUCCACCAUUUCAAAUCCUCCGCGCGCCUAACAUACCACUUGAGAAAUUACUAAUGGCCAACAGAAAGAAUGUCAUGGCCAUGUUAUUUCUCACCACCAUUGUGGCGGUGGCGGCCACAAGGCCAGCCGAGACCUAUGGCGUUGCGGAGGAGAACACAUUGAAGAUGGCUACCCCCAGCAGGAAAGGGGUUGACGCUACCUUAGCAACUACACGUGUUGUUGCCGCCGAGAAGUCCAUCAAGAAGGCUGAAAGCGUCACCACACCAGAAGAGGCCGCGGCUGCCAAGCAAGAUGGAGCAAAAUCUGCUUCUGCUGCAUUAAAGUACAAUGCCAUCUCUCAGCAGGCAAAUGGUAAAGGUUCUUCUACCUCCCUAGGCAGGAAAGAAGCAGCCAAUACUUUAGCCGCCGCACACUAUGCCGCCACCGAGAAGUCCAUCAAGAAGGCCGAAACCACCAAGACACCUGCAAAGGUCGUGGCUGCCAAGCGAGACGCAGCAAAGUCUGUUGAUGAUGCAUUAAAGUAUGGUGCCAUCUCUCGGAAAGCAGCUGGUACAAGUUCUUCUACCUCCCCCAAUAAGAAAGAAGGCACCACUGAUGCUGCUAAGAUGUUCACCAAGAAGGCUGAAACCGCUACCACACCUGAAGAGGCCGCGGCUGCCAAGCAAGCUGCAGCCAAGUCUACCGCUGCUGCAUCAAAGUAUGGUGUCAUUUCUCAGCAAGUAGCUGGUACAAGUUCUUCUACCUCCCCUAGCAGGAAAGAAGCUGCCGGUACCUUGGCAGAUGCUCGCAUAGCUGCUGCCGAGAAGUCCAUCAAGAAGGCUGAAACCGCCACAAGACCUGAAGAGGCAGCAUCCGCUAAGAAGGAUGCCACAAAAUCCGAGGCUGAUGCAAUGAAGUACGGGGCCAUCUCUCAGCAGGCCGCCGGCAAAAAUGGUGCCUAAGUGGUGCCUUAAACACCUAUUCACACGCAACAUCAUCUACAUACUACCAUGCAUGCAAAAUAGCAGCAUUCAGAUACCACAUUAUGCUAAUUCUCAUGCAUGCACACUUUGUUUAAACGUUCCCAUUACGAAUCAUGUAUUAAUGUCUUGCUUGUUUUAUUUUUAGUAGUAAGACAUGCUUGACUUGCUUUAAAAAAAAUACAACAAUCGAUGUAUACAUGUAUUAUCUAAAAAUCAGUAAUAUGAGUUCCACCGCAAUUUGUUUCUUUUUGUCAUAAUUUGGGUGCAAUCAAUGCACACAUCCAAUACACAAAAUUGGACGACUCAAUGUGUUGUGGCUCCAUGGAGCGGCGAAUCAUGUUUUAUUGUCUUGCUUGUUUUACUUUUAGUAGUAAUGUCUUGCUGGUCAAUGUAUUAUGGCUCCAUGGAGCGGCAUAAUGAUAUAUGAUAUAUCUUCACUACUUCAAAAAGAACUUAAGGUUUCGUCAUACAUCUUUCCUUCAUCCAUCCUCCCUACGAAUCCUUCCUGUUUUGAUUUUUUUCUCCCAUCUUUGAUUUUUCUCCCCAUUGAUUCUACCUAAAAACCACCUCAAUGUCACAUGUUUACUGUAUAUGUCAAGGCCUCCUUUGGUUCAUAGGGUAGAAAAAAACAUAGGAAUAGGAAAGUCAUAGGAAAUGAGAUGACAUGUAUCUCAAAUCCUAUGAUUGGGAAUAGGAAAGGAGAUGCCCUUUGAUUCACAUCAUAGGAUUUUUUCAUUGAAUCUAGGCUAAUGUUUAUUUUCCUAUGAAAUGUGAAGGAGAGGAAGAAUUCCUCCAUAGGAUUAGGAUUCCAUUCCUACAAACCAAAGGACUCUAAAGGAAUUUUUUCUAUAGAAAUCCUAUCCUAUGAAAUUCUUACAAGAUUCCUCCAAAUCAAAGGAGGCCCAAGUGGUUGUGAUGAGACAGUGGCUGGGCACUUCAGAUUUAUUCCCGUAACUGACUGUCAAAUUGAGUCAUCUGUCGUCCUUUCGAUGAUUGUAAGAAAGUUAUAUGUUUACUGUAUGUGCCAAUUGGUUGUGAUUAUCGUUACCGGCCACAAAGUUAUAUUUUCUUGUCUUAACGAAGGGUUGCAUACAAUGCGUGUAGCUCUUGACGCCUGAUAACCCACAAGUAUAGGGGAUCGCAACAGUUUUUGAGGGUAGAGUAUUCAACACAAAUUUAUAGAUUCGACACAAGGGGAGCCAAAGAAUAUUUGUAAGUAUUAACAGCUGAGUUAUCAAUUCAACCACACCUGGAGAUUAAUUAUCUGCAGCAAAGUGAUCAGUAGCAUAGUAGUAUGAUAGUUUUGAUAGUAGUAGCAACAUCAACAGUAACGGUAAUAGUGGUAGCAAUGGUUUUGUAGCAGUGACAAUAGUAACAGCAGCAGUAGUAACUUAGCAAGAACAAUAUGUACGAAAAUCGUACGCAUUGGAUCGGUGAUUUGUUGGAUGAUAUUCAUCAUGUGACAGUUACAACCUAGGACGAUACGGCACUAGCUCCAGUUCAUAAAUAUAAUGUAGGCAUGUAUUCUAUAAAUAAUCAUACGUGCUUAUGGAAAGAACUUGUAUGACAUCUUUUGUCCUACCCUCCUGUGGCAGCGGUGUCCUAUUGGAAACUAAGGGAUAUUAAGGCCUCCUUUUAAUAGAGAACCAGAACAAAGCAUUAACACACGGUGAAUACAUGAACUCCUCAAACUACGGUCAUCACAGGGAAGUGUCCCGACUAUUGUCACUCCGGGGUUGCCGGAUCAUAACACGUAGUAGGUAACUAUAACUUGCAAGAUUGGAUCUAGAACAUAGAUAUAAUGGUGAUAACAUAAGUCAUAGCAACAUCAAUCUCAGAACAUAAUGGAUACUCGGGAUGAAGCCCUAACAAAACUAACUCAAUUACAUGAUGAAUCUCAUCCAACUCCUCACCGACCAGCGAGCCUACGAAGGAAUUACUCACUCCUGGUGGGGAGCAUCAUGGAAUUGGCGAUGGAGAAGGGUUGGUGAUGACGAAGAUCGAAGACCCCCCUCUCUGGAGCCCCAAACGGACUCCAAAUCUAGCCUCCCGAUGAAGAACAGGAGAUGACGGCGGCUCUGUCUCGUGGAUCGUGAUAAUUCUUUCUUCCUGAUUUUUUCUGGAAAAAUAGGAUUUUAUAGCGUCGGAUUCAGGGCCUGCGGGGCCACCAGGUGGGGACAACCCACCUGGGUGUGCUUGGAGGGGGGGGGCCUGGUGGGUUGUGCCCAUCCAGGUGCCCCCCUCCGGUUGUUCUUGGCUCCAGAAAUUCUCUGUAUUUGUAUAAAAAUUCCUCGCAAAGUUUUGUUCCAAUCCGAAAACUUUUAUUUCUGCACAAAAAAAACACCAUGGUAGUUUUGUUGGAAACAGCGUCAGUCCGGGUUAGUUUCAUUCAAAUCAUGCAAAUUAGAGUGCAAAACAAGAGGAAAGUGUUAGGAAAAGUAGAUACGACGGAGAUGUAUCAACUCCUCCAAGCUUAAACCUUUGCUUGUCCUCAAGCAAUUCAGUUGAUAAACUGAAAGUGAAAAAAAAAUUACGAACUCUUUUGCUCUUGUUUUCAUAAAUAAGCUUAAACAUCACCCAGUGUCGAUGUCAAAACCGGCGGAUCUCGGAUAGGGGGUCCCGAACUGUGCGUCUAGGCGGAUGGUAACAGGAGACAAGGGACACGAUGUUUACCCAGGUUCGGGCCCUCUCGAUGGAGGUAAAACCCUACUCCUGCUUGAUUAAUAUUGAUGAUAUGGGCAGUACAAGAGUAGAUCUACCACGAGAUCAAGGAGGCUAAACCCUAGAAGGUAGCCUAUGGUAUGAUUGUUGUUGUCCUACAGACUAAAACUCUCUGGUUUAUAUAGACACCGGAGAGGGUUAGGGUUACACAGAGUCGGUUACAAUGGUAGGAGAUCUACAUAUCUGUAUCGCCAAGCUUGCCUUCCACGCCAAGGAAAGUCCCUUCCAGACACGGGAAGAAGUCUUCAAUCUUGUAUGUUCAUAGUCCGGGAGUCCGGCUGAAGGUAUCGUCCGGCUAUCCGGACACCCCCUAAUUCAGGACUCCCUUAGAGCCCCCGAACCAGGCUUCAAUGACGACGAGUCUGGCACGCAAAUUGUCUUCGGCAUUGCAAGGCGGGUUCUCCUUCAAUUUCUGUGUACCUGCUGAAUAAUGUCCGGUUUCUUAUAAAUGUAGCGCUCCUCGGCUUCCACGCCCAAUAAUGGCCGUCUUCCACGUGUCAAAUGAAUACGAAAAGUCUGGGUGUUUUUACAUUCACACCCCCAGCCGCGUAAAUGAGCCGCCUAUUUAAAGGGACGGGGAUUUAGAUCCAAACCACACCUUCUCCUCUCCGCGAGUUUCAUCAGAGCGCAUCCGACAAAGGACCGUUCCAUCAUGGCCAGCCGUCGCAGCUCCUCCUCUCGCCCUUCCAGCCCUCAUCCUGGAGAUUGGGAGAGAUGCUCCGUCCCGCACAGCGAGCUAGUGUCGCUUCGGACCAAAGGGAUUUCUUCCUCCGGCCUAUAUGGUCCCGGUUCGAGCCGGACUUGCCACCUAUAAUGGCGGAGAGCAAGUGGAGAGCGCCCCCAAUCCCUCCAAAGGAGAGCGGGUAUGCCUUGUCCCUUAUUUAAUAAGAGGGCUCGGAUUUCCAAUUCAUCCAUUUCUCCGGGGGCUCCUGGAGUUCUAUGGCCUCCAGCUGCACAACCUCACGCCUGUCUCCGUAUUGCAUAUUGCGGGCUUCGUAGCCCUUUGCGAGUUGUUUUUGGGUGUUGAGGCUCAUUUCGCGCUGUGGAAGAGGCUAUUCUGCCUUGUGCCCUGUUCUUAGGAGGGGUCAAUAUAUCAAGUGGGCGGAGCCAAAGUGUGGUGUAUCGCCGGGACCGGAUAUCUAUCCGGAACCCCAAAGAAGGCGUCUGAGGACUGGCCUUCAGAAUGGUUUUAUAUAGAGGACGUCCCGUUGCCGGAUCCUGUUCGGAUCGGCCUCCCUGAGUUCAACAGCGCUCCCCUAAAGAAAAACCUAAGCUGGCGCCCACGGAGCCCUCAGAGAGAAAGUGACAAGGACAUUCUUUACCUGAUGGGCCGGAUAAGAUUAUUAGCUCAUUCCGGACUAACCAUGAUCGGAGUCAUGGCUGCAUGCAUCAUGCGAGGGGUGCAACCGCUUCAGUACAGAGGCCACCCCAUGUGGGACUUCAACGGGGAGGAUGAUGCCACCCGUCACGGCCGUAAGGGGCCGGACUCGGCUACCGCUCUAGUAAAGAUCUUGUCCGCUUUGUACAAGGGAGAAGAGGAGGAAUUUCUCCGCGUCAACCCACAGGGUGGAUUUACCAUGUACAAUCCCCCAAGUUGGGUAAGUGGGCAAUUUUACUUGCACGUCUGUUUUGUAUUCCCAUCAUUAAAUAUAUAGUCUAACGACUUCAACGCAGGAACUGCGCCUGGAAGUAAAGGACAUAAAUAGCCCGCCUCCACAGCCCGAGGACCCAGAGUUGUCCCUCGAUCCGGCCUCCGAAGAGGAUCCGGACUUAUCCAUGGAGUUAAUUGAUGGGGUGUUUUAUCAAUUGAGCAAGGACAAUGCCUUGGUGGCCAUUAAGGCCGAUUACCCGGGGCUGCUCCCGGCCUCCCAGGUAACUGAGACCGAAGUCCUAGCACCUCAAAAAGGGAUCCGCCCUCGCGUGUUUUUCAGUUUCCUGACAACAACCGUGUUUUGCAGGGGAGGUUCUUGAGACGGGAGGCCGAGCCUGCGGCGACUAGCCAACGAGGGGCUACAGGGCCCCGUGGGAUGAAAAGAAGUGCAGUCCGGAUUGAGGCGCCGGCGCAGAGGUAUAGCACGCCUUCUUAUUCCCAGGUGUUAUUCCUUCAAGGCAUAUUAACACUCGUGCUCUUUUCAGGACAAAAAGACCCCGCCGGACUAUAUCUGGAGAGGCUGCCAAUCGCGCCUCCACCAGCCAGGCUCCAAAGCCUGGUCCGGAGACGGAGGCGAACACGAGGCGCGCACCGGACGCUCCUCCAACAGAGGAUGCGGACAGGCUGUCCGCCACUAAUUCCGAGGUGGAGAGUGCCAUGAACCACAGGCGUCGCCGGACAGUUCUUCGCGACGCUUGUUUCUCCCAAGAGGCAUUGGACGCCUUCAAUUCGGGAGAUGCGUACCUCCGUGCCGCUCAAAAUGGUCUAGCCAGAGCCACGGAGCAAUAUGUAAAAGACAUACAGGUGAGAAAAUUUAAUGGUUAUAUAUAUCAGUAGCCCCCGAGACUUGAAACAGUUAGAAGAACUGAUUUAAGGAUCAUUCAUAAUGCAGGUUCUUGCGGAAAAGAAUACCCAACUGUCCCAGGAGCUAGAAGAGUGCAAAGCCCAACUUGAGGCCGCACUAGCCGCGACAGGGGAGCCCAAGGAGACCCCCUCUGGUAAUAUGUGCUUCAAAAAGAGAAGUAUUUUGUGAAGUGCGGCGUUUGUGCAAAUCUGACAAAUGAAAUUGCAGAUGGCGCCGGAUUAGAUCCGGAAAAGCAACAACUCCUACGCCAGCUAAAGGCUGGUGAGAGCGUGCUGACAAAGGUGAGGUGGGAGAAGAACGAUCUCCAAUAUGCCAACACCAAGCUGGGCGUUGAACUGAAAGAUGUUUGUGCCCAGCUGUCGGACUCCGCUAAGGAGAAUCAGCGGCUUCGACGCGGCAUAUUUAGUAAGUGCUUAAACGAACUUUGAAUAAAGAGUUCGACGAGGAAGUCGACUAACGGAGUAAUGUCUGUAGGUAUGCUAACAGGUCGUCCUGCAGAGGAGAUGCCCGGUUCUAUGGGUGACCUUCUUCCCGAGCUCUUGCAACUGCACGAGCGAGUUCGGCAGGUGAUGCAGGGCGUCGCCCAGGCCUUGUGGCCAUCCAUCUCCAUGCCCGAAGGACUUGGAGAGCUUGCAGAGAAGCUGAAGGGAGCGCGGCGGCGCUUCUGAUUGUGGAAGAUAUCGGCCUGCGUCAAGGCGCUAGGGAGGCAUGGGCCAUGGUGAAGACGCGGUACACGAAGGCUGACCCAAACCACAUGGCCGAGGUCGGACCUGUGGGGCCCGAUGGGAAGGAGAUCCCUGUAAGCUUCGUAUACGGCUAAGUAGAAUUGGCCGCAAAGUAUUCCCAGCAGGACUGUAAGCUAGACAGCCUGUUAGAUGGUAUUGAAGAGGAAUACAAUCAGUCAUAAUGACUAUGUAAUUUUAAUUGACAUGUGUAAUGCCUUCUAGCCAGAUUGUAGAUCAUUUUUCAUGGCCGACCUUUUUGCUUCGACCUCGGGACCUGCGGUCUGGAGUGUGUCCGAAUACCCUUGCGGUUAUAUAAGAACCGGGGUAUGCAUGGAGACUAGGCGUAGGGGUCAUUAGUGCUUGAACAGACAAGUGCCCGACUAGUUAUGUUAUAUUACAUGGUUAGUAAGAAACAUCUUCCAGGGAGAAUAGUUCCGUUAGGGGUUCCUUUCCCUGGGAGGCAUGCCCUAAAGUGCAUGUCCAUUCUGCGAAAAAGAGACGCAGGAAAAAACAUCUGGGGGCGCAUAGAUAAAUAAGUGAAAAAAUCAUCUUUAGUUCACCGACCGAAUAUUUCCUUAAGAACGCUAGCUUUCGGCUUCACCCAGUCUGAGGUACACAUCGGGCUGACCCGGCAGUAACAAUCGCAGAGGUGCUCCCUUUACCACCUAGCCGAACAAUCGGGAACAUAGGGGUAAGCACAGGAGCCAGGCAACCCAGCUUGGCCAAAAAUUAAGUCAUAUCGAUGCAUAUGAUGGUGAAUAAAAGGUACAUGCGGAAGUGUGACACAUGUGUUGGGCAUGAAGCCCGUAUAAGCUUCUGUUCAAAGAAGCCCCCAGGUUUAGUGAGCGUGGAUAGCGCGUCACUUGAUGAGCCUUUAAAGGCUAUAAGAGAAAGGAGGGGGAGAAGGAGAAAAUGGAAGACAGAAAAUAUAAAAAAUGGACAGAGGAAGGAGACGAACAUAGAGUCCGGCGCUAGGCAUAGAAUCUUCGGAGACGGGCUGCGUUCCAUGGGUUCGGUUCGAGUCGGUUAUCCGAUGCAUCUCGCAGGCGGUAUGCUCCACCAGUCAGGACUUGGUCAAUUAUGAAGGGACCUUCCCACUUGGGCUGGAGUUUGUCCUUUUUCUUGUCCGGCAGGCGUAGAACUAGUUCGCCAACAUUGUAAUUUUUGGCCCGUACUUCUCUGCUUUGAUAUCUUCGAGCCUGCUGUUGAUAGAAUGCGGAACGGGCUUUUGCCACGUCACGCUCCUCCUCCAAGGCAUCUAAACUGUCCUGCCGAUCGAGCUCGGCUUCUCUUUCUUCGUACAUGCGCACUCAAGGUGAGUCAUGAAUUAUAUCGCAGGGCAAAACUGCUUCUGCACCGUACACCAUGAAGAAUGGUGUGUAUCCGGUGGUGCGAUUCGACGUGGUCCGCAGCCCCCAGAGUACGGAGUCGAGCUCCUCUACCCAGUGCGUGUUAGAUUCCUUAAGGUACCGCACUAAUCUGGGUUUGAUGCCGCUCAUGAUAAGACCAUUUGCGUGUUCGACCUGUCCGUUAGUUUGUGGGUGAUAGACGGAAGCAUAAUCGAGCUUGAUGCCCAUGUUUUUGCACCAGAGUUUUACCUCAUCGACCGUAAAGUUCGUACCGUUAUCAGUGAUGAUGCUGUGGGGGACGCCGUAACGGUGUACGACCCCCGAUAUAAAGUCUAUCACCGGUCCGGAUUCGGCCGUCUUAAUAGGCUUGGCCUCUAUCCAUUUGGUGAACUUAUCCACCAUGACCAGUAAGUAUUUUUUCUUCUGGGUUCCGCCUUUAAGGGGUCCAACCAUGUCAAGCCCCCAGACCGCGAAGGGCCAAGUGAUGGGGAUAGUUUGGAGGGCGGUGGGUGGCAUAUGGCUUUGGUUUGGCAAAAGCUGGCAACCGACGCAUCGUUGGACUAAGUCCUGAGCGUCUGCCCGGGCCGUUGGCCAAUAAAAGCCUGUACGGAAAGUCUUGCUUACGAGGGACCGAGUUGCGGUGUGAUGACCAUCGAGUCCGGCAUGAAUUUCAGCCAGCAAGUUCCGCCCAUCCUCCUCGGAGAUGCACCUUUGAAGGACUCCGGUAGUGCUUUUCUUAUAAAGCUCUCCCUCAUGGACUUUAUAGGCUUUAGAUCGCCGCACUAUGCAGCGUGCCUCAUUUUGGUCUUCUGGGAGUUCCUGCCUAGUAAGGUAGGCUAGGAAUGGUUCUGUCCACGGGGCGAUGACCGCCAUUAUUACGUGGGCUGAAGAUGUGACUUCAUUGGCAGAAUCUCCAAUUAUGUCAGUGUUGGGUAACGUAGCAGAAAUUCAAAAUUUUCCUACGUGUCACCAAGAUCUAUCUAUGGAGAAACCAGCAACGAGGGGAAGGAGAGUGCAUCUACAUACCCUUGUAGAUCGCUAAGCGGAAGCGUUCAAGAGAACGGGGUUGAAGGAGUCGUACUCGUCGUGAUCCAAAUCACCGAUGAUCCUAGUGCCGAACGGACGGCACCUCCGCGUUCAACACACGUACAGCCCGGUGACGUAUCCCACGCCUUGAUCCAGCAAGGAGAGAGGGAGAGGUUGAGGAAGACUCCAUCCAGCAGCAGCACAACGGCGUGGUGGUGGUGGAGGAGCGUGGCAAUCCUGCAGGGCUUCGCCAAGCACCACGGGAGAGGAGGAAGGAGAGAUGCAGGGCUGCGUCAUAUAGAAGAGAGGAACUCGCGUCUUAUGAGCAGCCCAAACCUCAACUAUAUAUAGGGGAAGGGGAGAGGCUGCGGCCCCUUUAGGGUUUCCACCCCUAGGGGUGGCGGCCAGCCUAGAUCCCAUCUAAGGGAGGCGGCCAAGGGGGAGGGGGAGAGGGAGGCGCACCAGGAUGGGCCUUAGGGCCCAUCUGCCCUAGGGUUUGCCCCCUUCUCCUCUCCCUUGCACCUUGGGCCCUUGUGGGGGGGGGGGCGCACCAGCCCACCUGGGGCUGGUCCCCUUCCACACUUGGCCCAUGAAGCCCUCCGGGGCUGGUUUGCCCCACUUGGUGGACCCCCGGGACCCUCCCGGUGGUCCCGGUACGUCACCGAUAAACCCCGAAACUUUUCCGGUGACCAAAACAGGACUUCCCAUAUAUAAAUGUUUACCUCCGGACCAUUCCAGAACUCCUCGUGACGUCCGAGAUCUCAUCCGGGACUCCGAACAACAUUCGGUAACCACAUACAAACUUCCUUUAUAACCCCAGCGUCAUCGAACCUUAAGUGUGUAGACCCUACGGGUUUGGGAGACAUGCAGACAUGACCGAGACGUUCUCUGGUCAAUAACCAAUAGCGGGAUCUGGAUACCCAUGUUGGCUCCCACAUGUUCCACGAUGAUCUCAUCGGAUGAACCACGAUGUCAAGGACUUAAUCAAUCCCGUAUACAAUUCCCUUUGUCUAUCGGUACGAUACUCGCCCGAGAUUCGAUCGUCGGUAUCCCGAUACCUUGUUCAAUCUCAUUACCGGCAAGUCUCUUUACUCGUUCCGUAACACAUCAUCCCGUGAUCAACUCCUUGAUCACAUUGUGCACAUUAUGAUGAUGUCCUACCGAGUGGGCCCAGGGAUACCUCUCCGUCACACGGAGUGAUAAAUCCCAGUCUCGAUUCGUGCCAACCCAACAGACACUUUCAGAGAUACCCGUAGUGUACCUUUAUAGCCACCCAGUUACCUUGUGACGUUUGGCACACCCAAAGCACUCCUACGGUAACCGGGAGUUGCACAAUCUCAUGGUCUAAGGAAAUGAUACUUGACAUUAGAAAAGCUUUAGCAUACGAACUACACGAUCUAGUGCUAUGCUUAGGAUUGGGUCUUGUCCAUCACAUCAUUUUCCUAAUGAUGUGAUCCCGUUAUCAACGACAUCCAAUGUCCAUGGUCAGGAAACCGUAACCAUCUAUUGAUCAACGAGCUAGUCAACUAGAGGCUUACUAGGGACAUGGUGUUGUCUAUGUAUCCACACAUGUAUCUGAGUUUCCUAUCAAUAUAAUUCUAGCAUGGAUAAUAAACGAUUAUCAUGAACAAGGAAAUAUAAUAAUAAUCAAUUUAUUAUUUCCUCUAGGGCAUAUUUCCAACAGUCUCCCACUUGCACUAGAGUCAAUAAUCCAGUUCACAUCGUUAUGUGACUAACACUCAAGGUCACAUCCCCAUGUGACUAACACCCAAAGAGUUUACUAGAGUCAAUAAUCUAGUUCACAUUUACCAUGUGAUUAACACUCGAUGAGUUCUGGGUUUGAUCAUGUUAUGCUUGUGAGAGAGGUUAUAGUCAACGGGUCUGAACCUUUCAGAUCCGUGUGUGCUUUACAAAUCUCUAUGUCAUCUCCUAGAUGCAGCUACCACGCUCUAUUUGGAGCUAUUCCAAAUAACUGUUCUACUAUACGAAUCCAGUUUACUACUCAGAAUAAUCUGGAUUAGUGUCAAAGUUUGCAUCGGCGUAACCCUUUACGACGAACUCUUUUACCACCUCCAUAAUCGAGAAAAUUCCUUAGUCCACUAGUUACUAAGGAUAACUUUGAUCGCUGUCCUGUGAUCCAUUCUUGGAUCACUCUUGUACCCCUUGACUGACUCAUGGCAAGGCACACUUCAGGUGCGGUACAUAGCAUAGCAUACUGUAGAGCCUAUGUCUUAAGCAUAGGGGACGACCUUCGUUCUUUCUCUCUAUUCUGCCGUGGUCAAGCUUUAAGUCUUAACUUCAUACCUUACAACUCAGGCAAGAACUCCUUCUUUGACUGAUCCAUCUUGAACACCUUCAAGAUCAUGUCAAGGAAUGUGCUCAUUUGAAAGUACCAUUAAGUGUUUUGAUCUAUCCUUAUAGAUCUUGAUGCUCAAUGUUCAAAUAGCUUAAUCCAGGCUUUCCAUUGAAAAAACACUUUCCAAAUAACCCUAUAUGCUUUCCAGAAAUUCUACGUCAUUUCUGAUCAACAAUAUGUCAACAACAUAUAUUCAUCAGAAAUUCUAUAGUGCUCCCACUCACUUCUUUGGAAAUACAAGUUUCUCAUAAACUUCGUAUUCACCCAAAAUCUUUGAUCAUCUCAUCAAAGCAUACAUUCCAACUCGAGAUGCUUACUCCAGUACUUAGAAGGAUUGCUGGAGCUUUGCAUACUUAUUAGCAUAUUUCAGGAUUGACAAAACCUUCCGGUUGUAUCACAUACAACCUUUCCUCAAAAAUCAUCGAGGAAACAAUGUUUUGACAUCCUAUCUGCAAGAUUUCAUAAAUGAUGCAGUAAUUGCUAAUAUAAUUCCAACAGACUCUUAGCAUCGCUACGAGUGAGAAAGUCUCAUCGUAGUCAACUCCUUGAACUUGUCGGAAAACAUCUUAAUGACAAGUCGAGCUUUCUUAAUGGUGAUACUUACCAUCAUUGUCCGUCUUCCUUUUAAAAUCCAUAUGUACCUAACAGCCUUACGACCAUCAAGUUGUUCUUCCAAAGUCUACACUUUGUUUUCACAUAUGGAUCCUCUCUCGGAUUAUAUGGCCUUGAGCCAUUUUGGAAUCCAGGCCCACCAUUGCUCCUCCAUAGCUCGUAGGUUCAUUGUUGUCUAGCAACAUGACUUCCAAGACAGGAUUACGUACCAUUCUAAAGCAGUACACAUCCUUGUCAUCCCACGAGGUUUGGUAGUGACUUGAUCUGAAGUUUCAUGAUCACUAUCAUAAGCUUCCACUUCAAUUGGUGUAGGUGCCACAGGAACAACUCCCUGUGCCCUGCCACACACUAGUUGAAGAGAUGGUUCAAUAACCUCAUCAAGUCUCCACCAUCCUCCCACUCAAUUCUUUCGAGAGAAACUUUUCCUCGAGAAAGGACCCGAUUCUAGUAACAAUCCCUUAUUGCUUUCGAAUCUGAGACAGGAGGUAUACCCAACUGUUUUGGGUGUCCUAUGAAGAUGUAUUUAUCCGCUUUGGGUUCGAGCUUAUCGACCUGAAACUUUUUCACAUAAGCGUCGCAGCCCCAAACUUUUAAGAAAUGACAGCUUAGGUUUCUCUAAACCAUAGUUCAUACGGUGUCAUCUCAUCGGAAUUACGUGGUGCCCUAUUUAAAGUGAAUGUGGUUGUCUCUAAUGCCUAACCCAUAAACUAUUGUGGUAAUUCGAUAAGAGACAUCAUGGUAUGCAUCAUAUCCAAUAGGGUGCAGUUAUGAUGUUCGGACACACCAUCACACUAUGGUGUUCCAGGCUGUAUCAGUUGUGAAACAAUUUCCACAAUGUCUUAAUUCUGUGCCAAACUCGUAAUUCAGAUAUUCAUCUCUAUGAUCAUAUCAUAGAUAUUUUAUCCUCUUGUCACGAUGAUCUUUCAACUUCACCCUGAAAUUACUUGAACCUUUCAAUAAUUCAAACUCAUGAUUCAUCAAGUAAAUAUACUCAACAUCUACUCAAAUCAUCUGUGAAGUAAGAACAUAACGAUAUCCACUACAUUCCUCAGCACUCAUUGGACUGCACACAUCAAAAUGUAUUACUUCCAACAAGUUGCUUUCUAGUUCCAUUUUACUGAAACCGAGGCUUUCAGUCAUCUUGCCCAUGUGGUAUGAUUUGCAUGUCUCAAGUGAUUCAAAAUCAAGUGAGUCCAAAUGGUCCAUUUGCAUGGAGUUUCUUCAUGCAUAUACACCAAUAGACAUGGUUCGCAUGUCUCAAACUUUUCAAAAAUGAGUGAGCCCAAAGAUCCAUCAACAUGGAGCUUCUUCAUGCGUUUUAUACUGAUAUGACUUACGUGGCAGUGCCACAAGUAGGUGGUACUAUCAUUACUAUCUUAUAUCUUUUGGCAUGAACAUGUGUAUCACUACGAUCAAGAUUCAAUAAACCAUUCAUUUUAGGUGCAAGACCAUUGAAGGUAUUAUUCAAAUGAACAGAGUAACCAUUAUUCUCCUUAAAUGAAUAGCCGUAUCGCGAUAGACAUAAUCCAAUCAUGUCUAUGCUCAACGCAAACACCAAAUAACAAUUAUUUAGGUUUAACACCAAUCUCGAUGGUAGAGGGAGCGUGCGAUGCUUGAUCAUAUCAACAUUGGAAACACUUCCAACACAUAUCGUCAGCUCACCUUUAGCUAGUCUCCGUUUAUUCCGUAGCUUUUAUUUCAAGUUACUAACACUUAGCAACCGAACCGGUAUCUAAUACCCUGGUGCUACUAGGAGUACCAGUAAAGUACACAUUAACACAAUGUAUAUCCAAUAUACUUCUAUCGACCUUGCCAGCCUUCUCUUCUACCAAGUAUCUAGGGUAAUUCUGCUCCAGUGGCUGUUCCCCUUAUUACAGAAGCACUUAAUUAGUCUCGGGUUUGGGUUCAACCUUGGGUUUCUUCACUAGAGCAGCAGCUAAUUUGCCGUUUCAUGAAGUAUCCCUUCUUGCCCUUGCCCUUCUUGAAACUAGUGGUUUCACCAACCAUCAACAAUUGAUGCUCCUUCUUGAUUUCUACUUUUGUGGUGUCAAACAUCGCGAAUAUCUCAAGGAUCAUCAUAUAUGUCCCUGAUAUAUUAUAGUUCAUCACGAAGCUCUAGCAGCUUGGUGGUAAUGACUUCGGAGAAACAUCACUUUCUCAUCUGGAAGAUCAACUCCCACUCGAUUCAAAUGAUUGUUGUACUCAGACAAUCUGAGCACAAGCUCAACAAUUGAGCUUUUCUCCCUUAGUUUGCAGGCUAAGAAAAUUGUCGGAGGUCUUAUACCUCUUGACAUGGGCACGAGCCUGAAAUCCAAAUUUCAGCCCUCGAAACAUCUCAUAUGUUUUGCGACGUUUCAAAACGUCUUUGGUGCCUCAACUCUAAACCGUUUAACUGAACUAUCACGUAGUUAUGAAAAUGUGUAUGUCAGAUGUUCGCAACAUCCACAGACAACGUUCGAGGUUCAGCACACUGAGCGGUGCAUUAAGGACAUAAGCCUUCUAUGAAGCAAUGAGGACAAUCCUCAGUUUACGGACCUAGUCCGCAUAAUUGCUACUAUCAACUUUCAACUAUUUUUUUUUCUCUAGGAACAUAUCUAAACAGUAGAACUAAAGCGCGAGCUACGACAUAAUUUGCAAAAUCCUUUUGACUAUGUUCAGGAUAAACAAGUUCAUCUUAUGAACUUCCACUCAGAUAGAUAUCCCUCUAGUCAUCUAAGUGAUUACAUGAUCCGAGUCAACUAGGCCGUGUUCGAUCAUCACGUGAGACGGACUAGUCAUCAUCGGUGAACAUCUUCAUGUUGAUCGUAUCUACCAUACGACUCAUGCUCGACCUUUCGGUCUCUUGUGUUCCGAGGCCAUGUCUGUACAUGCUAGGCUCAUCAAGUCAACCUAAGUGUUUCGCGUGUGUAAAUCUGUCUUACACCCGUUGUAUGUGAACGUUAGAAUCUAUCACGCCCGAUCAUCACGUGGUGCUUCGAAACGACGAACUUUCGCAACGGUGCAUAGUUAGGGGGAACACUUUCUUGAAAUUUUAAUGAGGGAUCAUCUUAUUUACUACUGUCGUUCUAAGCAAAUAAGAUGUAUAAACAUGAUAAACAUCACAUGCAAUCAAAUAGUGAUAUGAUAUGGCCAAUAUCAUAGUGCUCCUUUUGAUCUCCAUCUUCGGGGCUCCAUGAUCAUCAUCACCGGCAUGACACCAUGAUCUCCAUCAUCAUGAUCUCCAUCAUCGUGUCUUCAUGAAGUUGUCUCGCCAACUAUUACUUCUACUACUACAGCUAACUGUUAGCAAUAAAGUGAAGUAAUUACAUGGCGUUGUUUAAUGACACGCAGGUCAUAUAAUAAAUUAAGACAACUCCUAUGGCUCCUGCCGGUUGUCAUACUCAUCGACAUGCAAGUCGUGAUUCCUAUUACAAGAACAUGAUCAAUCUCAUACAUCACAUAUCAUUCAUCACAUUCUUCUUGGCCAUAUCACAUCACAUAGCAUACCCUGCAAAAACAAGUUAGACGUCCUCUAAUUGUUGUUUGCAUGUUUUACGUGGCUGCUAUGGGUUUCUAGCAAGAACGUUUCUUACCUACGCAAAACCACAACGUGAUAUGCCAAUUGCUAUUUACCCUUCAUAAGGACCCUUUUCAUCGAAUCCGAUCCGUCUAAAGUGGGAGAGACAAACACCCGCCAGCCACCUUAUGCAACUAGUGCAUGUUUGUCGAUGGAACCGGUCUCACGUAAGCGUAUGUGUAAGGUUGGUCCGGGCCGCUUCAUCCCACAAUGCCGCCGAAUCAAGAUUGGACUAGUAACGGUAAGCAUAUUGAACAAAAUCAACGCCCACAACUACUUUGUGUUCUACUCGUGCAUAGAAUCUACGCAAUAGACCUAGCUCAUGAUGCCACUGUUGGGUAACGUAGCAGAAAUUCAAAAUUUUCCUAUGUGUCACCAAGAUCUAUCUAUGGAGAAACCAGCAACGAGGGGAAGGAGAGUGCAUCUACAUACCCUUGUAGAUCGCUAAGCAGAAGCGUUCAAGAGAACGUGGUUGAAGGAGUCGUACUCGUCAUGAUCCAAAUCACCGAUGAUCCUAGUGCCGAACGGAUGACACCUCUGCGUUCAACACACGUACAGCCCGGUGACGUAUCCCACGCCUUGAUCCAGCAAGGAGAGAGGGAGAGGUUGAGGAAGACUCCAUCCAGCAGCAGCACAACGGCGUGGUGGUGGUGGAGGAGCGUGGCAAUCCUGCAGGGCUUCGCCAAGCACCACGGGAGAGGAGGAAGGAGAGAUGCAGGGCUGCGUCAUAUAGAGGAGAGGAACUCGCGUCUUAUGAGCAGCCCAAACCUCAACUAUAUAUAGGGGAAGGGGAGGGGCUGCGACCCCUUUAGGGUUUCCACCCCUAGGGGUGGCGGCCAGCCUAGAUCCCAUCUAAGGGAGGCGGCCAAGGGGGAGGGGGAGAGGGAGGCGCACCAGGAUGGGCCUUAGGGCCCAUCUGCCCUAGGGUUUGCCCCCUUCUCCUCUCCCUUGCGCCUUGGGCCCUUGUGGGGGGGGGCGCACCAGCCCACCUGGGGCUGGUCCCCUUCCACACUUGGCCCAUGAAGCCCUCCGGGGCUGGUGGCCCCACUUGGUGGACCCCCGGGACCCUCCCGGUGGUCCCGGUACGUUACCGAUAAACCCCAAAACUUUUCCGGUGACCAAAAUAGGACUUCCCAUAUAUAAAUCUUUACCUCCGGACCAUUCCGGAACUCCUCGUGACGUUCGGGAUCUCAUUCGGGACUCCGAACAACAUUCGGUAACCACAUACAAACUUCCUUUAUAACCCCAGAGUCAUCGAACCUUAAGUGUGUAGACCCUACGGGUUCGGGAGACAUGCAGGCAUGACCGAGACGUUCUCCGGUCAAUAACCAACAGCGGGAUCUGGAUACCCAUGUUGGCUCCCACAUGUUCCACGAUGAUCUCAUCGGAUGAACCACGAUGUCAAGGACUUAAUCAAUCCCGUAUACAAUUCCCUUUGUCUAUCGGUAUGAUACUCGCCCGAGAUUCGAUCGUCGGUAUCCCGAUACCUUGUUCAAUCUCGUUACCGGCAAGUAUCUUUACUCGUUCCAUAACACAUCAUCCCGUGAUCAACUCCUUGAUCACAUUGUGCACAUUAUGAUGAUGUCCUACCGAGUGGGCCCAGAGAUACCUCUCCGUCACACGGAGUGACAAAUCCCAGUCUCGAUUCGUGCCAACCCAACAGACACUUUCGGAGAUACCCGUAGUGUACCUUUAUAGCCACCCAGUUACGUUGUGACGUUUGGCACACCCAAAGCACUCCUACGGUAACCGGGAGUUGCACAAUCUCAUGGUCUAAGGAAAUAUUGACAUUAGAAAAGCUUUAGCAUACGAACUACAUGAUCUAGUGCUAUGCUUAGGAUUGGAUCUUGUCCAUCACAUCAUUCUCCUAAUGAUGUGAUCCCGUUAUCAACGACAUCCAAUGUCCAUGGUCAGGAAACCGUAACCAUCUAUUGAUCAACGAGCUAGUCAACUAGAGGCUUACUAGGGACAUGGUGUUGUCUAUGUAUCCACACAUGUAUCUGAGUUUCCUAUCAAUACAAUUCUAGCAUGGAUAAUAAACGAUUAUCAUGAACAAGGAAAUAUAAUAAUAAUCAAUUUAUUAUUGCCUCUAGGGCAUAUUUCCAACAGUCAGAUUGUUCGGUGUUGGGCAGUGCGGUUGAGUCCGGGCUGUUAUUGCCGGGUUCCCCUUCCCAUACUACGGACGGCUUGAAUAGCCUUUCCAAGAAGAUGUUGGGAGGGACUGCAUCGCGUUUUGCGCCGAUGCGUGCCAGGACAUCCGCCGCCUGAUUAUUUUCCCGGGCUAUAUGGUGAAAUUCGAGCCCUUCGAACUGAGCUGACAUUUUUAAGACGAUGUUGCGAUAAGCUGCCAUUUUUGGAUCCUUGGCAUCGAAGUCUCUGUUUAUUUGGGACAUUGCGAGGUUCAAAUCCCCUCGCACUUCUAGGCGUUGAAUACCCAUGGAUACUGCCAUCCAGAGACCAUGUAAGAGGGCCUCGUAUUCGGCUGCAUUGUUGGAGUCUGUGUACAUAAUCUGGAGUACAUAUUGAACUGUGUCUCCUGUGGGGGACGUCAAAACGACGCCAGCCCCCAGACCGGCCAACAUUUUGGAGCCGUCGAAAUGCAUGAUCUAGUUUUAAUAUGUGCCGUACUCUUCAGGGAGUUCGGCCUCCGUCCAUUCUGUGACGAAGUCAGCCAAAACUUGCGACUUGAUAGCUCGCCGUGGCUUAUAAGUUAUGUCGAACGGGAGGAGCUCGAUGGCCCAUUUCGCAAUCCGGCCCGUUGCGUUGCGGUUCUUUAUAAUAUCGUUUAGUGGUACUUCUGAGGCUACUAUUAUUGAACACUCUUGAAAGUAGUGUCGCAGCUUCCGGGAUGCCAUGAAUACCGCGUACGCAAUCUUUUGAUAAUGUGGGUACCUUGAUUUGCACGGAGUGAGGACAGUGGACACAUAAUAGACCGGCUUCUGAAGGGGGAAUUUGUGUCCGUCGUUUCUCGUUCGACGACGAGCACUGCGCUCAGAACCUGAUGGGUUGCUGCAAUGUAUAAUAGCAUUGGUUCGCCAAUGUUUGGCGCGGCCAGGACUGGGUUUGUUGCCAAUAUGGCUUUUAUUUCGUCGAGUCCGGCCGUGGCUGCGUCCGUCCACUCGAAGUGUUCGGUGCGCCUAAGGAGGCGGUAAAGGGGGAGUGCCUUUUCUCCCAAGUGGGAGAUAAAGCGGCUUAGAGCCGCCACACAUCCGGUUUACUUUUGUAUUUGUUUGAGGUCCUUUGGGAUAUUCAAUUGUGACAGAGCUCGGAUCUUGGCUGGAUUUGCUUCAAUUCCUCUACCGAAUACAAUGAAGCCCAAGAGCUUUCCGGCUGGAACGCCGAAAACGCAUUUUUCUGGGUUGAGCUUGAUGUCGUAUGUUCGGAGGUUAUCAAAUGUGAGCCUCAAGUCAUCUACUAGGGAUUCGACAUGUCUUGUUUUUACGACCACAUCAUCUACAUAUGCCUCCACUGUUUUGCUGAUCUGGUUUGCCAGACAUGUCUGAAUCAUGCGCUGAUAUGUUGUUUUGAGCCCGAAGGGCAUUGUGUUGAAGCAGAAUGGGCCGUAUGGUGUGAUCAAUGUCGUUGCGGCUUGGUCUGAUUCUGCCAUCUUGAUUUGAUGGUAGCCGGAAUAUGCGUCGAGCAAGCACAACGAAUCGUGUCCUGCAGUAGCGUCGAUAAUUUGAUCCAUGCGGGGGAGGGGAAAGGGAUCCUUUGGGCAAGCCUUAUUAAGGUCUUUAAAAUCAACGCACAAGUGCCAGGAUUUGUCCUUCUUUGGUACCAUCACUAGGUUUGCUAGCCAGUCCGGAUGUUUUAUAUCUCUGAUGGAUCCGGCCUCUAAUAGCUUGGCUAGCUCCUCUCCCAUGGCCUGUCUCUUAGGUUCGGAAAAACGCCGAAGAGCCUGUUUGACAGGUUUGAAUCCUUUAGGAUAUUUAAGCUGUGUUCGGCCAGCCUGCGUGGGAUUCCUGGCAUGUCUGAAGGGUGCCAGGCGAAAAUGUCCUAGUUCUCACGUAGGAACUCUCGCAGUGCGGCGUCUACAUCAGGGUUUAAUUGUGCACCGAUGGAAGCUGUUUUAUUGGGGUCCGUUGGAUGGACCUGGAAUUUGACUAUUUUGUCCGCUGGUUUAAAUGAGAUGGACUUGGAUCUUUUGUCGAGUAUCACAUCAUCCCUGUUCACCGUGGAGCGCAGCGCAGUCAGCUCCUCAGCCGCUAGGGCUUAGGAUAGUGCCUCAAGGGCCAGUGCGGCUGUCUUAUUUUAGGCGCGGAGUGCUAUGUCCAGAUCACUAGCGAGAGUGAUGAUUCCGUUCGGCCCGGGCAUCUUGAGUUUCAUGUACCCAUAAUGGGGUAUUGCUUGGAAGAUUGUGAACGCUUCCCGCCCUAGCAGAGCGUGGUAUCCGCUACUGAACGGGACCACUUGGAACGUGACCUCCUCGGACCUGUAAUUAUCCGGCGUGCCGAACACCACAUCUAGUGUGAUUUUUCCUGUACAGCACGCUUCCUGACUGGGGAUUAUUCCUCUAAAGGUUGUGCUGCUUCGCUCAAUGCGGUUCCAGUCUAUUUCUAGUUUUUGAAGGGUUUCCUCAUAAAUGAGGUUCAAUCCGCUGCCUCCAUCCAUGAGUACCUUGGUAAGGCGAAAGCCAUCCACUAUUAGACUGAGGACCAAUGUGGCUGGUGCUCGGGCUGUUCGGAAUUUAGGUUCAUCACUGGCAUUAAAAGUAAUAGCCGUGUCACUCCAUGGGUUUAUUGUUGCUACUUGGUAGACUUCGACAAGGCUGCGGAGUGUUCUUUUUCGCAUAUUAUUUGAUGCGAAAGUCUCGAAGACUGUUAAUACCGUACCGGUAUCCCUGGGGUGGCUUUCUAUGGCCUCCGGAAUUAGGAGAUCUUCACCAAUUUUGGCCACCUGCCGGAGUAUCCAACAUGCUCUAAGGCUGUGAGUUGGUGUGGCGCCCUCUGUACUAUGAAUUUUACAGGGUCGAUUAAGCCAUCCUUCCAAUAUGCUUCCAUGCCCUGUAGAGGGUUUUUGCUUUUUGGUGUUUAACCGGGUGUCUGGCGAAGAUGCACCCUUUUAUUUCGGACUGGGUUUGUAUUCAGGGCCGGAUUGUCCCAAAAUUUUAUUUCGGUUUUCCAGGCGCUAUCCAUCGCACAGUACUUUCGUACUAUGGACACCAAGUCAGCGAAGCAUGUAAUAUCACGGCGACUUAUGGCGUUGAGGAUUCCCUUGUCCAUGCAAUUAUUGCAGAAGAAUGAGAUUGCGUCUUCCUCGCGGCAGUCCUUGAUCCUGUUCAUAGCCAGGAGGAAUCUGGCCCAGUAAUGAUGUACUGUUUCUUUGGGUUUUUGCCUAAUUUGGGAUAGAUCGCUUAUGUUCGGGUGGGUGGGUGGAAUUAAAUCCGAAACCUGACCCGAUCUGAGACUCAGAGGCCAAGGAGAUUCCGAACUCGGAAGUUUGGAUUCUUGGAUGUUGUCCAAUGAGUCUAGCCCGUCGCCUGACUCUAAGUUCAGGUCUUGAGUGAUGUCCUCCCCUCCGCGGGUAUCCGACUUGGAGGGAUCGGGAAUCCGGACAUAACUAGUCCUUAAGAUAGAUGAAGGGUCACCGCACUGUCCCUCUACCAUAGCAAUGUGAUGGGUGACCUGGGGAGAGUUAAUCUCUCUUAGAUCGGGUUUAGGCCCAAUCUGGUCAUAAUCCGUGGCAACUCCCAGGGCGGCGACGCGAUCCAAGAGCUCGUUUAUGGAAGAGAGCUCCAUUGUAUCUAACUGCUCGGCGAGUUCCGAGAUGACAUGAAGACUGCUUUUGAUGACCCGAGAGGUCAUCGUCGGCGCAGCAGCCGAACAGGCGGUCAUAAGAAAACCGCCUAGCCGGAGAGUUUGGCCGACAGCCAAAGCUCCCUUAGCAACGGUUCCGUCUUUAAAGACGGGAUGAGGCAUCCUUCCUGAUGGCGACGGCACAGAGGAACUCUCAAUGUAAGCACCAAUAUCGGUGUCAAAACCGGCGGAUCUCGGGUAGGGGGUCCCGAACUGUGCGUCUAGGCGGAUGGUAACAGGACACAAGGGACACGAUGUUUACCCAGGUUCGGGCCCUCUCGAUGGAGGUAAAACCCUACUCCUGCUUGAUUAAUAUUGAUGAUAUGGGUAGUACAAGAGUAGAUAUACCACGAGAUCAAGGAGGCUAAACCCUAGAAGCUAGCCUAUGGUAUGAUUGUUGUUGUCCUACGGACUAAAACCCUUCGGUUUAUAUAGACACCGGAGAGGGUUAGGGUUACACAGAGUCGGUUACAAUGGUAGGAUAUCUACAUAUCCGUAUCGCCAAGCUUGCCUUCCACGCCAAGGAAAGUCCCUUCCGGACAUGGGACGAAGUCUUCAAUCUUGUAUCUUCAUAGUCCGGGAGUCCGGCUGAAGGUAUAGUCCGGCUAUCCAGACACCCCCUAAUCCAGGACUCCCUCACCCAGGUUUUCAGCCAAGAUUAUAACUAACCAUGUCGACAAUAACUCUUAAACAUUAUAGUAACUCUUAUGAGUAGAGGCCGCGGGAAAAAGCCUAGUAGUAGCGCGGAUAAAAGACUAGUAGUAGUGCGGGUGCCCGUGCUACUACUAUGGCGCUACAGCUAACUCGUAGUAGUAGCGCAGGUGCCACCCGUGCUACUAGUACGUGUGUUAGUAAUAGCGCGGAUUCUACACACGCUACUACUAACUAUGUGUAGCGCCUGUCUGUGACCCGCGCUACUACUAUUAAUUUCAAAAACCAAAAAAAAAUCUCGACCCCGUGCAUGUUGUCAAUGGUGUCAUCCAGCGACGACAGGGGUUGCCGGAGGUGUGGACGGGUAGUGGCAGACCAGAUCCGGCGAUGGCUGUUGGAGAUGGCCGGAUCCAGUGUAGAGCAAGACGACGGUGUGAGGAUCCUCUUCGCGGUCAAGGCGGAGAACUCCUGGUUGGCCAUGUCGACGACCUGUGCAGGCAUGGGCAUGGGAGGUGAGUAAAACCAAAGGGAGAGGGAGAGGAGAGGGAGAGGGAAAAAGAGAAACAAGGGAGAAAGGAAGGAGAUGGAGGGCGUAUCGGGGCUGCAUGGAGGCGAGGAGGAAGACGGGCGAGCUCUUGGACGCCAGCGAUGCGAGGAGGAAGACGUUGGGUGCCAUGGAGGAGGAGAUGUUCUUGGGCAGGAGCACCAUGGAGAGAGGGGGAAAGUGAGGGAGAGAGGAGGAAAGUGAGAGAGGGGGAAAGUGAGGGAGAGAGGAGGGAUUCGGCCGAGGAUAUGGAGAUUUCAUCUACCUCGUACUUAGUAGUAGCGAGGGGUAUAAAACCGCACUACUACUAUCAACAUAGUAGUAGCAUGGGUUUGUACCCCUCGCUACUACUAUGGCAUGUCCCGGGAGGGCAUGGUAGACACCGCUUAGUAGUAUCGAGGGUGAAAAACCCGCGCUAAUAGUAUCAACUUAGUAGUAGCGAGGGGUAAAAACCCACGCUACUAGUAAGUAGCAGUAGCGACGGUUAUAAACCCGCGCUACUAGUAAGCGUCUGCCUAUAAGCUUUUCCCUAGUAGUGGCAUAUCUAUGACAUAAUCAACUAGCGAGCAAUAAUAAGAUAUCUCAAACAACAACACGUUGUGAAAACAACCAUGAUAUAAUAUGACAAUAGUGGUAUCUCGCUAGCCCUUUCUAAGACCGCAAAACAUAAAUGCAGAGCACCUCCAAAGUUCAAGCAGCGACUAAACAUUGUAAUUCAUGGUAGAAAAGAUCUAGUCUUGAUGCACCCAACAUUAGCAACACAUAGUGCAUCAGCAUGACAACAGUGCUCUUUGGAUUUGGCACUUAUUUUAGAAGGUGAUGACACAACAUAAAAGUAAAUAGAUAGUCCCUUCGCAGAGGGAAGCAGUGAUUUGCAGCUGUGCCAGAGCUCAAAAUUUUAAAACAGAGGUAAAUGAAAUUUUGGGAAAUUGAUACGUAUCCAAUGUAUCUAUAAUUUUUUAUUGUUCCAUGCUAUAUUAUAUUAUGUUUUGGAUGUUUAAUAGGCUUAUUUAUACACUUUUAUAUUAUUUUUGGGACUAACCUAUUAACCGGAGGCCCAGCACAAAUUGCUGUUUUUGUUCCUACUUCAGUGUUUCGCAAAAAAAAGAAUAUCAAAUGGAGUGCAAACGGAAUGAAACCUUCGGGAACAUGAUUUUUGAAACAAAUGUGAUCCAGAGGACUUGGAGUCCAUGUCAAGCAGUCAACGAGGAGGGCACGAGGCAGGGGGCGCUCCUACCUCCCCCUAGGCGCGCCCUCCACCCUCAUGGGGCCCACGUUGCUCCACCGGCGUACUUCUUCCUCCUAUAUAUACCUACGUACCCCCAAACCAUCAGGGGCAUCCACGAAAACCUAAUUCCACCGCCGCAACCUUCUGUACACGUGAGAUCCCAUCUUGGGGCCUUUUCCGGCAUCCUGCCGGAGGGGGCAUUGAUCACGGAGGGCUUCUACAUCAACACCAUAGCCACUCCGAUGAUGUGUGAGUAGUUUACCUUAGACUUUUGGGUCCAUAGUUAUUAGCUAGAUGGCUUCUUCUCUCUCUUUGGAUCUCAAUACAAAGUUCUCCACGAUUCUCGUGGAGAUCUAUUCGAUGUAAUCUUCUUUUGCGGUGUGUUUGUCGGGACCGAUGAAUUAUGGAUUUAUGAUCAAGUUUAUCUAUGAACAAUAUUUGAAUAUCCUCUGAAUUCUUUUAUGUAUGAUUGGUUAUCUUUGCAAGUCUCUUCGAAUUAUCAGUUUGGUUUGGCCUACUAGAUUGAUCUUUCUUGCAACGGGAGAAGUGCCUAGCUUUGAGUUCAAUCUUGUGGUGUCGUUUCCCAGUGACAGCAGGGGCAGCAAGGCACGUAUUGUAUUGUUGCCAUCGAGGAUAACAAGAUGGGGUUUAUAUCAUAUUGCAUGAGUUUAUCUCUCUACAUCAUGUCAUCUUGCUUAAAGCGUUACUCUGUUCUUAUGAACUUAAUACUCUAGAUGCAUGUUGGAUAGCGAUCGAUGUGUGGAGUAAUAGUAGUAGAUGCAGGCAGGAGUCGGUCUACUUGUCACGGACAUGAUGCCUAUAUACAUGAUCAUACCUAGAUAUUCUCAUAACUAUGCUCAAUUCUAUCAAUUGCUCGACAGUAAUUUGUUCACCCACCGUAAUACUUAUGCUUUUGAGAGAAGCCACUAAUGAAACAUAUGGCCCCCGGGUCUAUUUUCCAUCAUAUUAAUCUUCCAACACAUAGCCUUUUCUAUUGCCCUUUUUAUUUUACUUUGCAUCUCUAUUUCUCUUUAUCAUAGAAAUACUAAAAAUAUUAUCUUAUCAUAUCUAUCAGAUCUCACUCUCGUUAGUGACCGUGAAGGGAUUGACAACCCCUUUAUCGCGUUGGUUGCGAGGUUCUUAUUUGUUUUGUGUAGGUGCGUGGGACUUGAGCGUGGCCUCCUACUGGAUUGAUACCUUUGUUCUCAAAACUGAGGGAAAUACUUACGCUACUUUGUUACAUCACCCUUUCCUCUUCAAGGCAAAAAACAACGCAAUGCUCAAGAGGUAGCAAGAAAGAUUUCUGGCGCCGUUGCCGGGGAGUUUACGCAAAAGUCAACAUACCAAGUACCCAUCACAAACUCUUAUCCCUUGCAUUACAUUAUUUGCCAUUUGCCUCUCGUUUUCCUCUCCCUCGCUUCACCCUUGCCGUUUUAUUCGCCCUCUUUUCCGCUCGCCUUUCCUUCGCCAUGUCGGAACCAAAAAGAGUUGGGGGUUCUCUCCCGAGUUUUAGUACUUUGGACGAUCCUUCUAUUCUAUCUAAACUCAUAAAUAAUGUCAUGGUAAAACCUGCCGGAGUUGUCAAUGAGAGUCUUAAUAAUUUUGAUGAAGAUGAUUCCGGAAUUUUUCGUUAUUUACUCGAUGAAUCUUUGAAAGAUGCUUGGGAUAGACUGUUAAGGAUCCGGGCUAACUAUGUGCCCCAAUACCAAAUUGUAGUUUACUUGAAGAGCUUUUAUGUUGCCCUACCUUCUUCGUUUAAGCAUGUCUUAGAUUCUAUAUUUGAAGAAGGCUUUCUUGAAGGGGAUGCCGUAGAUACUUAUGAAAAGAUGAAGACCAUAUUCGGGCACCCCAUGAAUGAGAAAAUUGAAUCUACAUCUCUUUUGCUCUCCAGUCCUUGGUUCAUGUAAAUCUGAAUCUAGCCGGCACUACCCCUUCACAAGCUGUUGCAUAGUCUUCAGCGAGGUGCGGCAUAACUUCCGUGUGAGGGGAAAUGAACUUCUCCAUGAAUACCUUCUCUCUCACCUUGAAAGCGGUAUAGUAGUAGCCUGGGUUGCACUUGAGCAAUCCAUUUUCCAUGAGAAACUUUACAACGUAGUACCUGGGUUUCAUCCAGCCCUCCAGCUUGUAAUUGAUAAUUAUUGACCGUUGAGCAACGUAGGUAGGUUCCAACCUGUUAGACUAUGUAUAGCUUCUGUACCUAUGUACGUAUAUGGUACAUAUUGUAACACAACCAUUAUAUAUAAUGAGAUAAGCCACCCCUAGAGGGUUGUGCUGGUUCCCCAAAACUUAUUGUCUUACAUGGUAUCACGCUAGGUUACGAUCGCUUCCGCUUCUAAACCCUAAUACCCGCACCGCCGCCGCAGCCGCCGCCGCCUUCACCGCCGCCGCCGCGCCACCGAUCGCGCCGCCGCCAUGUCGAGCGCUGCCACCACCGGUUCCACUGCUGCGGGCUUCCUCCCGGCCUCUCUUGCGGCUCUGCUCAACCUCCCGCUCGAUGCCGUCUCUGUUCCGGCUCCGAUCGGGACAAGGAGCAUCGGCUCCGUCUUCUCCAUGCCGCCGGCGCCCUCGCUUGGGCGUGACCUCGUGGUCCACACCGCGGCGCCGCCGUCCGCUGCGGACUCCGCAGGCAUCGUCCCGCCGCUCCUGCCGCAAGCGGAUCACACUGCCCCGCUGGCGGGGUUGGCGGCGUCCGCCCCGGCCGCGGGCCUUGCGGCGUCCGCACCGGCCGCGAGCUUUGCGGCGCCCGCCCUGGCUGCGGUCCCGCCUCCUCCCGCAUCGGCUUCGGUGCCUCCAGCUGCCUCCAUGGUGUUUGCACCCCAGGCAGCCUCCUCGAUGGGAUUGUCUUCGCCGCUGCCGUUUCACUUCGGUCAUCUCAUCACCAUCAAGCUCUCCGCCGACAACUACAUCUUCUGGCGUGCGCAGGUUCUCCCGCUCUUGGGGAGUCACUACCUGCUAGGCUACAUCGACGGAUCGCUUCCCUGCCCACCCGCGCUGGUAGACAGCAUGCACGGUCCGGUCUACAAUCCGGCCCAUCGCGUCUGGACGGGGCAGGACCAGGCGAACCUCUCCUCCAUCCAGGGGUCGCUCUCGCCGGCAGUUGUCGGCCUUGUUGUCUUCGCGAAGACGUCUCAUGAGGCCUGGACCAUCCUUGAGCACACCUUUGCAGCGCAGUCCCAGGCUCGUGUCUCUGCACUCCGUCGUCAGCUUGGAGAGUGUCAGAAGCUUGACUCCACUGCCACUGAGUUCUACAACAAGGUCAAGGGCCUCGCCGACACAUUGGCCUCCAUUGGACAGCCCCUCACCGACUCCGAGUUCAACUCGUUUAUUGUCAAUGGUCUUGAUGAGGAGUAUGAUGCCUUAGUCGAGAUCAUCAACGAGCGGGGCAACUCGACACCCAUGCUGGCACACGAGGUUUUCUCUCGGCUCCUUCUCACUGAGCAACGGGUCGAGACUCGCCGCACCAGGGGCACUGGCUCCCUCUCGGCCAACGCCGCCACCAAGGGUGGCCGCUCUUCUUCAUCACCCCGGUCUCCCUUGGGGCUGCCACCGUCGCCCUCCUCGGCCCCCCACCUACUGCGACCUUACCGGGGGCUGGCGUUCCACGUGUGUGUCAGCUUUGUGGCCGCGAUGGGCACUGGGCCUCCAAGUGUCAUAAGCGCUUCCAGCGAAGCUUCCUUGGUCUUGGCAAUGACGGCAAAGAUACACGCAACAAUGCCCGUCAGGUCGCCAUGGCUGAUCGUCCCGCGCCGCAGAAGCAACAGGGACACACUCAGUCCUACUCCAUCGAUCCACACUGGUACAUGGACUCUGGGGCGAUAGAGCAUCUAACCAGCGAGAUGGGGAAGCUUCACACUCGUGAACCCUAUCAUGGCUCCGACAAGAUCCACACCGCCAAUGGAGCAGGUAUGCACAUCUCUCAUAUUGGUCAAGCAUCUCUUCUCACUAGACAUGCCAAUAGGAGUCUUCAGCUUCGCAAUGUUCUUCGAGUUCCAUCUGUGACCCGUAAUCUUCUUUCAGUUCCUAAACUCACACGUGAUAAUAAUGUGCUUUGUGAAUUUCACCCUUUUGAUCUUUUUAUUAAGGAUCGGGGCACGAGGGACAUUCUUCUUAGUGGGCGGUUGUGCCAGGGCCUCUACCGUCUGGAGCAUCCUGGUGUCGCUCGUGUUUUCAGUGGAGUUCGGGUCUCUCCGUCACAGUGGCAUGCUCGUCUUGGUCACCCGGCCACACCUAUUGUCCGUCAUAUUUUGCGUCGUCAUGAGCUUCCUAGUUUGUCUAGUCAUAAAGAUGUAGCAGUGUGUGAUGCUUGUCAGCAGGGGAAGAGUCAUCAACUUCCUUUUUCGGAGUCCAGUCGUGAGGUGAAACAUCCUUUAGAACUUGUGUUUUCAGAUGUAUGGGGUCCUGCUCAGACUUCUGUCAGUGGUCAUAAUUACUAUAUCAGUAGUCGCUUUACCUGGCUUUACCUUAUUAAACGCAAAUCUGAUGUGUUUGAUAUUUUUGUUCAGUUUCAAAAACAUGUUGAACGUCUUCUCAAGCACAAAAUUGUUCAUGUCCAGUCAGACUGGGGGGGCGAGUAUCGCAACCUCAACUCUUUCUUUCAGUCGCUUGGGAUAGCUCAUCGUUUAGCAUGUCCACAUACACAUCAGCAGAAUGGUUCAGUCGAACGUAAGCAUCGUCAUAUUGUUGAAGCUGGUCUUACUCUUUUGGCCCAUGCAUCUAUUCCGUUUCGGUUUUGGAGUGAUGCUUUCACCAUUGCAUGCUUUCUCAUCAACCAUACUCCUACUCGUGUUUUAAACAUGAAGACUCCCAUUGAGGUUCUCCUUAAUGAACAACCUGAUUAUACCUUUCUCAAGGUAUUUGGGUGUGCUUGCUGGCCGCAUCUUCGUCCAUAUAACAAGCGCAAGCUUGAGUUUCGUUCUAAGAAGUGUGUUUUUCUUGGCUAUAGCUCUCUUCAUAAAAGUUACAAAUGUCUUCAUGUUCCCACUAAUCGUGUCUAUAUAUCUCGGGACGUCGUGUUUGAUGAGCAUGUUUUUCCCUUUGCCAACCUUCCUGUGUCCACUGUCGAACCACCAUCCCUGCAUUCAUCCUCUGUUGCUUCUGACCAAUUUGAUGAUGUUGCAUACUCUCCUUUGCUGUUACCUAACCAUCUCCACUGCUCGGUCCGUUUCGCCAGCGGCCGCCGAGUCGCCCGCGACUCGGCCCGUCACGCCGUCUUCGCCUGCGGCUCGGCCCGUCACGCCGUCUUCGCCCGCGGCUCGGGUCCUCAUGUCGCCUUCAUCAGCGGAUCGGCCUGCGACACCGGCCGCGCCACGGCCCACUAUGCCGAGCUCGCCAUCGGCCCGGUCUGUGAUGCCGGAGUCGCCAGCUGCUUCGUCUGCUCUGCCGGUUUCGCCGGUGGGUCGGCCUUCUUCGCCAACCGAGUCCGAGGCUACCGUGACUGGCUCCUCGUCACCGGCUGACUCGUCAACGUCGCCGUCCUCCAGCCCGUUGCAGGCUGCUCCGUCGACCUCGGUGGUUCCUGUGUCCCGACCACAUACAUGCAGUCGCAGUGGCAUUUUCAAACCUAAGGAACGUAAGGAUGGUACGGUUGCUUGGUUGGCUGCUUGUUUGGCUGCUGCUGUUGCGGAUCCAUCUUCUGAGCCUCGCUCAUAUCAGGCUGCCCUGCGCAUUCCACAUUGGCGAGAGGCUAUGGAGCAGGAGUUUCAUGCUCUUCUUCGUAACAAGACAUGGACUCUCGUUCCUCCACCACCACGGGUAAAUGUUAUUGAAUCAAAAUGGGUAUUCAAAGUGAAGAAGCAUUCGGAUGGAUCUAUUGAGCGUUACAAAGCGCGACUUGUUGCUCGCGGUUUUCGGCAGCGUCAUGGUCUUGACUAUGAGGACACCUUCAGUCCUGUCGUCAAGCCUACCACUAUUCGACUUCUUCUCUCCAUUGUUGUUUCUCGUGGUUGGUCACUUCGUCAACUUGAUGUGCAGAAUGCUUUUCUACAUGGAUUUUUGGAGGAAGAGGUUUAUAUGAAACAGCCGCCUGGUUUCUCUGAUCCUGAUCGUCCUGACUAUAUCUGUCGUCUUUCCAAAGCACUAUAUGGUUUGAAGCAAGCUCCUCGUGCCUGGCAUGCCUGCCUUGCCUCUGCCCUUCGUGCUCAUGGGUUUGUGCCGUCUACUGCUGACACUUCGUUAUUUCUUCUACAGAAGCCAGAAGUCACUAUGUAUCUUUUGGUAUAUGUCGAUGAUAUUAUCCUUGUCAGCUCUUCUCAGUAUGAUGCUGAUGCUCUUGUCUGCUCUCUUGGUGCUGAUUUUGCGGUCAAAGAUCUUGGGAAGCUUCACUACUUUCUUGGAGUUGAGGUCACUUCUCGUGCUACUGGUCUUGUCCUUACGCAGAAGAAGUACUCCUUGGAGUUGUUACAGAGAGCUGGCAUGCUGAAGUGCAAACCGACCACCACACCCAUGUCGUCUACCGACAAGAUAACAGCUGCUGAUGGUGAGCUUUUGUCUCCUGCGGAUGCCACAGAGUACAGGAGCAUUGUUGGUGGACUUCAGUACUUGACGAUCACGAGACCAGAUAUCUCUUAUGCUGUUAACAGGGUUUGUCAGUAUCUUCAGGCUCCCAGAGAUACUCAUUGGGCUGCUGUUAAACGCAUUCUUCGUUAUGUUCAGUUCAUCCUGACAUUUGGUAUGCAUAUUCGGCCGACUUCCUCUCGGGUCCUUUCGGCCUUCUCUGAUGUAGAUUGGGCUGGUAGCCCAGAUGACAGACGAUCCACGGGGGGUUAUGCAGUAUUCUUUGGCUCUAAUUUGAUCGCCUGGAGUGCUCGGAAACAAGCUACUGUGUCACGUAGCAGUACUGAAGCUGAGUACAAGGCUGUGGCUAAUGCUACUGCAGAGAUUAUUUGGGUGCAGUCUUUGCUUCAGGAGUUGGGUUUGUCUCAACCACAGCCUCCUAUUCUUUGGUGUGAUAACAUCGGUGCUACAUACCUUUCUGCAAAUCCAGUAUUUCAUGCCCGAAUGAAACACAUUGAAGUUGACUAUCACUUUGUACGGGAACGUGUAUCACAGAAGCAACUCCAGAUCAAGUUUAUCUCAUCUAAGGAUCAACUUGCAGACAUCUUCACUAAGCCUUUACCGCUGCCACAGUUUGAGGCUUGUAGGCGCAAUCUUACCCUUCUCAGUUCUUUAGAAAGUGGCUAAGAUUGAGGGAGGGUGUUAGACUAUGUAUAGCUUCUGUACCUAUGUACGUAUAUGGUACAUAUUGUAACACAACCAUUAUAUAUAAUGAGAUAAGCCACCCCUAAAGGGUUGUGCUGAUUCCCCAAAACUUAUUGUCUUACACAACCCCACCUCAGAGAUGAGGAAAUCAGACCUGCGCUGCAGUAAUUCCUUUGACUUCCUCAGCAGACACGGAGCGUUACACACAACAAUGCUCACCUCAGCGUCUGACCACCUGAACAUCUUCUUCAAGUAGGCCACAUUGGCGGCGAUCUUCUCCUCGCUGAGGAAUCUGACAGUAUCCAGCGUGUGCCUGAACAUCCUGAGCCACGAGGCAUGCCAAGGCCUUCGGCGCAUGCCACCAUCGCCCUGACGUGUUCUGGCUUGUUGCUCAGGACACCCCGCGCGCGGAGGGACAACUUGGUGAUAUCGCAAUCAUCUAGCCCGCAUUGCCGUAGGAGCGCGACGUUGGGUUUGACCAUCUCCUCGAUGCUGUGUUUUGGUUUUCGGUUUGCGUUUUUUCUCGCCCCUGAACGAGAUGGCCGAAAUUCGGCCAUUUCAAAAAUCUCGGUAAAAUCUCGGACGAAAUUACAAAACCAAAAUUUGAAUUUUAAACGAAAUUUGACUAAAAAUUGGCCGAAAUUCGGCCGAAUUUUUUGAAAACAAGCAGAGCAAAUGUACAGCAGUCGAACAACACUGAGGAGUACAUGUAUGCGUUACCAAACUAGCUUUGGGGAUUAAUAACUCCAAAAGAAAAGAUUGAAACAAGGAUACAGAGAGGUGAUCCAGAGUUGAGGAGUUCCCGAUGGAUUCAGCCGCAGCCCGCAGCCGGCAGAGGUCAGCAGCAGGGGCCGGUCGUAGGAACGGCGAGAACGGGGUAGGAGCCGCAUGCUCGAGCGGGGAGGCAGGUGCCGACGAGCGGAGGAGCCGCGUAUUGGCGCAUCGCCGCCGCCGCAAACACAGGGGCCGCAGGGGAUCGUGGUUAGUUUAGGGUUCACGAGUUCGGUUCGAUGCUUUUAAUCCAGGCAAACCGUGGGGAGGCCCAGAAGUUGGACUGGGCCAGAAAAAAGUUUCAAUCUGGGCCGAAAGUUUUGGCCGGCACAGACAUUUACCGGGUCGAGGCGAGAUGACCGAAAUUCGGCCGAAAAUUGUUUUUUUCGGCCGAAAAUCAAAACACAGCCUCGAUGUCAGCGCCGGCGAGGUAGCCUUGCUUGAGCACCCGGAAGAGGUUCUCCGAGGAGCCGAAUAGGAGCAGGUAGUACCGCAAAUUGGAAACAAUGGACCUGGAACAGAAGUGGGCGAAGGAGAGCGCGACGAGGCGCACGAUCUCAGUACGCGAGAGGCCGAGGCCGGUGAGCCCACGACGACGGGGGCUAGAGUUUUCUCUACUUUGGCGCAGAGGAACAACGGGUCCUUGGCGACGAGGGCGGCGACGUCGGUGCCGGAGAGGCCGAGGCCGGCGAGGAAGGAAAGGACGGCGUCGGGCUUGGACGAGGACUUGAGGUGGGAGAGCUUGGCGGAGGCCUUGAGUGCCUGGGGUCGGGUGAGGCCGAAGGUGGAGACGAGGUAGUCGUCGACGACGAAGCUAGGGUUUGGGGAAACGCCGGGCGCGGCGGCCGCGGAGAGGGGGCGGUGGAGAGGGGGGCCUGAGAGGUGGCGGGGGAAGAGAGGAGCCGCACGAGGAUGCAGCCACGGAGGCGGAGCAUGGCGGCGGCGGCGGCGGAGAGAUUGAUUCCCUAUGGAGGCGGGUGCGAAUGGGAUGGUGCUUCGGAGGCGGGGAUGCGGCGCCCCGGCGAGGCAGGUGAGGAACGGAGGAAGAGAACAGGAGGAGAGAUCGAAGAGGAUGGCACUUCGGCGGCGGCGGCGGCGCCGCCGAAGAGAUUUUCCGGUCCGCUGUGAGUGGAGAGGAAAAAUGGGAAAUGGCAGGUGCGAUGCGAAUGGAGGCUCCGCAAAUUGCAAUAUCACUGAAUCCCAGGGGUCUUUACGUCUUUCAAAAAUACAAAAUACAUUUAAAAAAACAUACAUAAUACAUUGAGCCUCAUGGAAACUUUCAUAUACACAUGGAAAAUAGAUAUCCCCUCCGUUUAAUAAUGUAGUGCAUAUAGAUUUUUGAAAGUCGGACUUUGCAAAUUAUGAUCAAAUUUAUAAAGCGAACUACUUAUACCUACAUUAUCAAAUAUAUAAAAUAUGAACCUACGUCUUAUGAUGAAUCUAAUGAUAUAUGCUUGACAUUCUAGAUGUAAAUGUUUUUCUUCACAAACUUGGUCAAAUUUUGUUAGAUUUGACUUUUCAAAAAAUCUACAUGCAAUCAUUAUGCAAUCGGUAUUAUAAGGAAAAUGACUUUGAGCGAUAAGAUUAUAUCACAAAAUAAGCUAUUAUACGACUUGUACUUAUCCUAUGAUUUUUUUCUGUAGGUAUAGUACUUCAUCCGUUUUUAUUUACUUUGCAUAUUAGAGUUGACUGAAGUCAAACUUUGUAAAGUUUGACCAAGUUUAUAGAAAAGAAUAUAAAUAUUUACCCUAACAAACGAAAAUCUGCAUCUGAGCCCGGGCUCAGAUGUUCCCGCUCAGAAAAAAAUUCAAAACAAAUUCUAGAAAAAUUCAAAUAAAUCCAAUUUUUUGUGUGGUAGAUAAUUUGAUGCGUGAGGCCCGCUUCAAAUUUCAACUCAUUUGGAUAUCUGAGGAGCUCUCGGCAAAAAAGACAAAUCGGAUCAAAACAGUUCGUGAACAAUAAACUUUUUUACAGACCCGAUUUUGUCUUUUUGCAGAGAGCUGCUCAAAUGUCCAAACGAGUUGAAAUUUGCAGCAAACCUCACGCAUCAAAUUAUCUAUCACACAAAAAAUGGAAUUUUUUUGAUUUUUUCUAGUAUUUGUUUUGAUUUUUUUCGUCGGAGCGAGUGCAGUUGAGCCCGGGAGCCAAAUUGGCUUAUAUGAUGUGAAAGUAUGUUCAAUAAUGAAUGUAAUGGUAUUGAUUUGUUAUUGUACAUGUUAAUAUUUUUGACUAUAAACUUCGUCAAAAUUUAUAAAGCUUGACUUUGACCAAAACUAAUAUGCGGAAUAAAUAAAAACGGAGGGAGUAAAUGGCUAUGUUUUUUUUUGUACGUAGUAAAUGGUUACUUUUUCUGAUUUUUUUUAAAUGGUUAUGCUUGCUAACCAAUCCAAUUCAAAUUAUAUGUCGCUCAAACGGAUGUAUCUAAUUAAUAUGGAUCGGAUGGAGCAGAAAAGUUCAUAUGGAUAUAUAUUUUCUCAAAACUUGAAAGUAUGAUUUCUACAAGUAAAAAAAAAUCAUAUGUGAACUAUGUUUGUUUUUAGCAUUUUGUGUGCGUUCAUGUUUCUUUUUCUCUCUCUUCAUUCUAGCCUCUUUUCCUCCACCUCACUCUGUUCUCACAUUGACAUUGUUGCCUUUUUCAGUGGACUCCUACCUAUCUUUUCUAACUUUUGCAAGGUGAGAAUUGAGAAGGUUAUUAUUCUUUAGUUUUAUGUGUAUAGCUAUCCUAGAGUCGAGAUCAAUUGCAUCGUGUCCACUUAUCCUCUAUAACACUAAGCUUCCUAGUUUUAAAAAGCCCACACUCAAUUAAGGUCUCCAAUUAGAAUUGGAUCAUCCGAUUUUGAACGGGUCAACAAUUUCUCAAAGCUUCAUAAUCCAAUUUUUUUAUACUAUACCAUAUGCUUCCUAAUUUUUAAGGCCUCACAAUUAAUUAAGAUAUUCAAUAUAGAUUGAUCAUCCAAUUUUGACUGGGUCAACAAUUUCUCAACCUCUCCAAUUGAAUUCUUUUAAUUCACUAUAUUCCAAAAUUUUGAAUCUCUUUCAUUCAAUUGAGGUAUUCAAUUUUGAUUUGGUUGAAGAUUUUGAGUGGGCCAAUGAUUUUCAAAUCAAUCAGCUGCAACUGACCUAUAAAAACAUAUCAAUCCCAUGCACCCUUCCACCACAUAGAAAAAAGAAACGUCACCAUGUGAUAUUGUAGUAUCAAUAUAGUACAUGCAACCACCAACGCAGAAAUUUUUCCACAUAAAUAUAGGUUGGUUAGCGGAUGACACAGUCAUCUCCCCACCCGCCUAACUUAAUAUUCCAUCAGUUAUAAAAUAUGAAGGGUAUUAAUUUUGUAGAAAGUAAAACUUCUUUAACUUUGACCAAGUUCAGAGCAAAAAUAUCAACAUCCACAAUAUUAAACAAAAAAAGUAUGGAAAUUCAUUUCGUGAUGAAUCUAAAAAUACUGAUUUAAUCUUAUGAAUUUUGAUAUAUUUCUCUCAAAUUUGAAAAAACUUAAAAGGUUUGGCUUUUCAAAAAAAUACACCUUAUAUUAUGAAACAGAGUGAUUAGUUUCUUAAGAUACCCAAUAACAUGAACGGCGCAGCAAAGCGCGCAGAACCCUUCUAGUUAGUAGUAUAUCUAAGAACAAUUAGCAUCCCAUUGAUGAUCGAUAAACCUUCUUAGUCCAGCUAGUGGUUGGUUGUCUAGAGUAUAGCUGGCCAAAUGGGCCGGUUUUUUCGGGUCGGCCCGUGAGCACGCCGGCACGGCCCACCUUGGGCCAGGCACGGCACGGGCCAAACGAGCCAGGCCCAGCACGCGGCACGCCCUAGGCCGUGCCUGGGCUGGAGGCUGGGCAUGCGGGCCGGCACGGCACGGCCCGAUUAUGUUUUUUAUAUUUGUUAUACAUUUAUAUAUGAUCCAACAUGUAAAAAUAAGCUAAAAACGCUCAAUGCGUCAAAUAAUAGGCUAAAAAUAUGCGGCCCACCGUGCUAAAUGGGCCAACGUGCCGGCUCGUUUACUAACGGGCCGUGCCUGGGCCUGGGGGCGCAGCACGCGGGCCGGCACGGCACGGCACGUAUAGUAAUCGUGCCCUGGCGGACCGUGCCGGACCAGGCACGAUUAUGAUGGGCCGGGCCAUGCCGUGCCGGGCCAGCCCGUUUGGCUAGGUAUGGUCUAGAGAUCUAUAUGGAGUCAGUUGAGAUGGGAUGGUCAGCCAAGUGGGUUGAUCAAUGCUCCUCUUAAAAUUCGAAGCCUAAAGUAGAUGUGCUACUCGAGAAAUAAAAAGACCAACGUAGACCGUACCAACAUCUAAUAUUUGACGUCACAUUUAAAUUUGAUACUAUUCAUACCCAUAAUUGUCCCUUUGCUCAUCGAAUUAUGCAUCUUAUAUAAAUGUUGUAAAUGAUCAAUUUUUAUAAUAAUUUUAGGGUUGUAGUUCGGUGCAUAGGUAGCUCAGAGGAACCAUAGUCAUCGCUUCCUCUCCAAAAAAGCUUAGGGUUCCUAUGCCUCCCGCUGGCGCAGCUGCCGGUCCACCUCGUCUCCGGUGGCCCUAGGGUCAUGGGGACACGGUGAAUCUCAUCCCUUACCAGAGGGCUUCGUUUUUAGACGUUUCUUUGAAUUUUGUUAGGGUUGUGUCUUGCUAAUUAAGGAGGGCAAGACAACGACGGCUUCCUGAAGAUUGAAUAAGAUUCUCCCCGCCUAGCCCCCGUCUCGAUGGCGCAUCUAACAUCGUCGAAGAGUGUGUGGAGGUGUAUCUCCGCCAGAUCUCGCAGGAUUCGGUAGGUGGUUUGUCUUUGGUGGAUCUACUCGGACCCGGUCUUCGUUCGUCUACGUUUGUGUGUCGCUAGAUUGGAUCCUUCCGAUCUAUGGGUCUCUUCAUCGGCGGGGGUUGCUAUUCUAGUGCGCUGGUCCUACGAGGCCUUAGCACGACAAGUUCCCGACUGUGUACUACAAUAAGUUCUGCCCGGCUCCGGGGAGGGAAGGGCGAUGACGACGGUGCGUCUUCGGCUCGUUUUAAUGCUUGUAGUCUUUGCUAGAUGGUCUAAGGAUGAAUGUGAUUUUUAUUAUUCCUAUUGUUCAUUGUAUUGUCAUGAUUGAAAAUGAAUAUAUCAAAUGAUUUCUCAUAGAAAAGAAGCUCAUAAGAACCAUUAAAAGGACAAUCGUGUGGUCUCCCUAGACUUUUUUUUAGAAAAGGAGGAAGACCCCCGGCCUCUGCAUCUGAGCGAUGCAUACAACCACUUUAUUAAUUAUUCUCAAAAGACCUUACAAAGAAAUACAACAAUAAGUCUGAAGCCAUCAUCUAGGCAACAUCUGUUGCUACUCCUAUUCAUUUGAUGAAGGGAUGCUGAUAGUCUGGGCUUAAUACCAAACAGACCUCGCAGCCAAACCUAACAUCUAAGACCUGAGUUCCCAUCCAGGACGCCUGCCGGGUAUGGGUCACCCACCGGUCCGGCACACUCCUCAACAUGGACGCCUGCCGGGUAUGAGGCCGCCGCAGCCACCUGCCACCAAUCCAUCUUCAGAGAUGUAGUGUUGCAUCUACCUUGUCCGGUCUAGCUGCCGUCGACGCCACCACGAUGCCAGACAACGCCACCAUCCUGCGCUCGUCCAUCAACACACGCCCAGCAGCAAGAUCCCGCUGCUCUAUGCCCCUGAGACCCGCCAUUGUCGACGUAUCAGAUGCAACGCCGCUCCUCCUUCGCGAACACCACCUUCUACCACUGGUCCUAUCCCCUCCACCUGUAGAUCCUCUGAACUCCCAACCGAGCCCUAGUGCCCCUGACGACACCUCCAGGAAGGUCACGACGCAAAAAGCGCCGCUGCCGCCAGAUCCGAAAAGGAUUGAAGGUUUUCACCCGGCCGGGGAUCGGGGUGGAUAGAUUGGGCCCUCAGCUGCGCCUUCAUGAAGGAAAGCGGCACCCAUGAGCGUCGCCGCCGCCGGGCCGGCUAGACUGGCCAAGGUUUUCCCCGGACCCAAAGUACACCACCAGGGCUGACCACCACCGGAGCCUGCAGCCGUAAACCACCAGGACGACGACAGAGGCAGCAGGAGAAAGGGGAACCAUUAAAAGGACAAUCGUGUGGUCUCCCUAGAUGGUCCUUGGAGGGAGCGAUGCAAUUUCAUUUCCUUUUUAUUGCAUUCUCAUGGAUCUAUGGGAUACACAGAUUUGGAAUAGCCAUGCGUUAUAUAGGUUUGGAAAAGAUGAAUGGGCAGGACAAAGCCCAUCAAGGUCCACAGUUGGACAUGGUAUUUUUCUCUUCCCUGAUCUUGUGUGGUUGUUACAUUACAACGAGGACUAGAUGCAUUCAUGAACCUGAGGAGACUAUAUACGGUGAUUAUAUCGUGGCUAUCAUAUUUACCUAUUUUACAAAGAAUGAUCGGAUAUAAUUUACUGGUACAAUCCAUUGUGUGCCUUUCACGCUUCCGUCAGUUUAAUUUCCUCACAUUUUAAGUAGUCUUGUGAAGUUGUGAUCAGGUAGCUCGCAAUCUGAAUUUCUGUAAUGAAUUUUUUUUGGUCCAACGAGUAAAACGUAGACUUGGUGACCCUCAAAAGGGAUGAUAUUUUACAUAACGAGUAAAUCAUGAUGUCCUUAGAUAUUUCUUAUGAGUAUUUCUUCUUUUCUGCGGAAAAGUUUCUUGUCUUCCGAACUCUUGGAUGUGGGCAGAACUCUUGAUGAGCCGAGGCACCCGCGGCAUGCCAUUGUGAGUCAAGUUUGCCAUUGUUUGAUGGGAAGUUUUCAAGUGCUACAUGUAGAAGGACGCUAUAGUGGCUGCAAUCUUGCUGCUAAGUGACACGUACUGUCACCCUGUUUCUAAUGAAAAAAACUGAAGAACAAUGACUCAUUUAAACAUUGUUCAAUUUUGUGGUUCAUGAGCCUUUUCUUCAAAGUUUACUUAAAAGUUGGGUUAUUAGGUAAAAAAUGGUUCCUUUCCUUUUGUGCUUGCAAUUUAUUGUCCUGACAAAAACACUUUUUAUUGCAGUGCUAAGAAAAUGCGUCUACUACUUGACUGAACUAAAUACUCUUGAUAGCAAACCCUCUCUGGGCAUAUUCGUAGAUUCAAGGUGAGGAGACAUGCCAGCAUACAGACCAGCAACAUACAUGGCACAUGUACGACGUUCUAACAAGAGCAUAAAGUUGAUUGAUUCUUGAUAGCAUCACCUGAAUAUAUCACUCACGGAUUCAUGAAUGUUCCCCGUUGCAAUGCACGGCCAUUCACCUAGUAAAGGCAAUGAUUUGUUGGUAGUAGAGGCAUCUCAUGUUUCAAAGGGUUAAACCUUAGCCGUCGUGACCCGGCUCCAUGGCUGGGUCAAUCUCGCACCUCUGUUGGUGCCGAACCCUAGGCAAAUUCCCCCAAAUCUCUUGUUGUUUCUAUUGAUUGACCGAAUGUGAGGAGCAAUAGUAGAUCAAUAACUCUCGUAUAACCGAGGGAAAAAGAAAUGAAGAGAAGUUGGCGAAAGUAUCAAGUGGUACAUCUACUUUUUAUAACAUCACAUGAAGCCGGCGAAAAGGAAAGCCGAUCAACGAAGAAACUGCAUAGGGGACCUAUCAUGAGUGAACAUUGCGUGGGCGCCAUUGGCCGCAUCUCAUCAUCUUGUUGUGUAGAAGAAGAAAUGACUGCCGAUGCUGCUGGUGCCUCCAUCUCUAUGACCUUGCCGUCCAAGCCCGCAUUAGCAACAAACACGUAGCACUAGAGCACGGGAGGAGAGUUGAUCAGGGAAAUCGCCUUUCUUGACGACAGGAGAAUUAGUGAUGGGCGACUCCACGCGACGCUGAUGUGAUUUCAGGCCACACUAAAGGAUGUCGGAGAAGGGGGCCAUAGGACGAACUCAACCGCAUCGGUAGUGGGCUUGGUGGAUAUUGUGUCGAGGGCUCGGGGACGCACUCGGUGAUGGUGGUGGACCUCGGGGAGGGGGGCCUCAUACACGUGGAUGCAGGGGAAAAGAGGGUGCACGGGCUUGAAGGCAUUACUCAUCCACCUCUUCUGGCAAAGAGAGCUCAUCGGGGCCAACCGCGUGAAGGAGGAGCUUGAGGUAGCUUGGAGGAGGCGACGACGACAACCAGAUCCAUCUGGCAAGCCAGAGUGGAGGCAUCCCACGUGGGAGCAGUGAUUUCGGUGCCUAAGCUUAGAUGCACCUGCUAUUAUGUUUGUUCAUUGCUGCAUGGAGAUUCAGGAAAUGGGGCAUGAGGUGGCAUUGCUAGGGCGUGGAAAAUCCCCAAAAUGAACUAUACAUGCAUGAAUAGUGUGAUACAUGUGGGUCUAUCGUGUAGCACACGAGGAGGGUUCGAACGAAGGACAGACGGUGCCAUCUUGGUUGGAUUCUGAUCCAUGGCACCUAAUCGUCUGCAUUCAUCUAAGUCGUGGCUCACUCUGCUGCCUGUGGCAUGACUUUGACACUUUGAAUCCGAGUCAUGGCCUAAAGAUUUGUGUAGCUCCAGUUGGGGCCUGCGGUGUAGGAUCGUCGGUACGCACACCGAAUGUCAUCCACGACCGACGUCGGCCAACAGAUUGCUAGCUUACUAGACGCUACAAGAGGUAGCGUCCUUCGUGAAGUUUGUGUGCUUCAACACCAACCAGGUCAUCCUAAGCCGUCAUGGACAACCCAUUCAUCUACGUGGUUGACUUCAACAUUGGAGACGACUUCUCAUGGUCGUUGCUCAUGUCACACCUUGCUCACCAUGGCAACAAGCUGUUUCAUGUCACGUCACUUGCCACCACAUUAAUGCACCGCGCGGAUACGCAUGCACCUACAAUCGUGCAUGGUGUCCCUCAGAGUUCACGCGCGUCCCUAGGGGCUCCCAUUCCAGUACGACGAGAAGGACCUCCUGGUCUGGGCUGGAAGUCACGUAAUGGUACCUACAACAAUCUCGAAAAGAGUAGAAGGCCUGGAUUUCGAGAGCAUCUGAGCUCGCACUUAGAAAUCUAUUUUUGUUCCCACGGUCCAUACAUAGAGAGAAACUAGAAAAGAAAAUGCAAAACACGCAUACAUGCAUGCAUGCUUCCACAAAUGGGUUACCAGAUACCUUUCUGGGGCUCUGGUGACCUCACAUUCAUUGUUGACCCCUUACGACCUCACAAUCAUGGGAGAGAUUUCAUGACCGCACACUGUCUCUAUAAAAGCCUAUCACCUCUAUGAAUCAUGUGGCUCCAUCAUUUCAAAUCCUCCGCGCGCCUAAGAUACCACUUGAGAAAUUACUAAUGGCCAACGGAAAGAAUGUCAUGGCCAUGUUGUUUCUCACCACCAUUGUGGCGGUGGCGGCCACAAGGCCAGCCGAGACCUAUGGCGCUGCGGAGGAGAACACAUUGAAGAUGGCUACCCCCAGCAAGAAAGGGGUUGACGCUACCUUAGCAGCUACACGUGUUGUUGCCGCCGAGAAGUCCAUCAAGAAGGCUGAAAGCGCCACCACACCAGAAGAGGCCGCGACUGCCAAGCAAGAUGGAGCAAAAUCUGCUUCUGCUGCAUUAAAGUACAAUGCCAUCUCUCAGCAGGCAAAUGGUAAAGGUUCUUCUACCUCCCUAGGCAGGAAAGAAGCAGCCGGUACUUUAGCCGCCGCACACUAUGCCGCCGCCGAGAAGUCCAUCAAGAAGGCCGAAACCGCCAAGACACCUGCAAAGGCCGUGGCUGCCAAGCGAGACGCAGCAAAGUCUGUUGACAAUGCAUUAAAGUAUGAUGCCAUCUCUCGGAAAGCAGCUGGUACAAGUUCUUCUACCUCCCCCAAUAGGAAAGAAGGCACCACUGAUGCUGCUAAGAUGUUCACCAAGAAGGCUGAAACCGCUACCACACCUGAAGAGGCCGCGAAUGCCAAGCAAGCUGCAGCCAAGUCUACCGCUGCUACAUCAAAGUAUGGUGUCAUUUCUCAGCAAGUAGCUGGUACAAGUUCUUCUACCUCCCCUAGCAGGAAAGAAGCUGCCGGUACCUUGGCAGAUGCUCACAUAGCUACUGCCGAGAAGUCCAUCAAGAAGGCUGAAACCGCCACCAGACCUGAAGAGGCAGCAUCCGCUAAGAAGGAUGCCGCGAAAUCUGAGGCUAAUGCAAUGCAGUACGGGGCCAUCUCUCAGCAGGCCACCGGCAAAAAUGGUGCCUAAGUGGUGCCUUAAACACCUAUUCACGCGCAACAUCAUCUACAUACUACCAUGCACGCAAAAUAGCAGCAUUGAGAUACCACGUUAUGCUAAUUCUCAUGCAUGCAUGCUUUGUUUAAACGUUCACAUUAUGAAUCAUGUAUUAAUGUCUUGCUUGUUUUAUUUUUAGUAGUAAGACACGCUUGACUUGCUUUAAAAAAAAUACAACAAUCGAUGUAUACAUGUAUCAUCUGAAAAUUAAUAAUAUGAGUUCCACCACAAUUUGUGUCUUUUUGUCAUAUUUUGGGUGCAAUCAAUGCACACAUCCAAUACACAAAAUUGGACGAGUCAAUGUGUUAUGGCUCCAUGGAGCGGCGAAUCAUGUUUUAUUGUCUUGCUUGUUUUACUUUUAGUAGUAACUAG
rnacentral:lncRNA from 1 species